ACUUUGAACUUGUAUGAAGCAAGCCCGAAAGUCGGUAACGGUAGCUUAUACAACAUGUCAGCACUGUGAACCUCCCUAACAGUCAAAUUAGGGAAGUGUAGCCCUUCAGAGCUUGUACCUGCCCCAGAUAAGAUUGCAAGUGUCACUACCUAUGGCAGGGAGGACAAUAGAAACCGCGCAUGUGCACACACACACACACAUCCCUAUAUGAUGCAAGAAAGCAACUUACUCUGAAAUGGCGUGGAAAGAGAAUGAAAGGUUAGAAAGCAGGCAUCAAGGUUCUGUAAUGUUGGACCCGUGGGUAUUCUAUAUAUAGGAUACCUACAUUAAGAAUAGCACACAAACUCUUUACGAUUGCGGAUAUGAACUCAGACGAAAAAAAUUAACUUCACAUAGAAAAAUAACAUGGAAAAAACAUACCAUGCUACAGAUAUCCAGCUUGAAGGUAGCAAAUCGCAGCUCUUGUAUGUUCUCAGUUCUGGAAAUCGUGAUGCGAGAAUUCCAAUCUGUAGGUUGGAUCCAAGGUUUUGAGUCUUUUUUCAUGAUUAAGGUAAAAAUACUGAAAACUAAAUAUAUUGUUCUACGUAAGAACAAUGCACUUGCCUUGUCAGCCAAAGGUUCACGACUAAAUGGAGGAUCAUGCUCCAGGUAUUCAAAUAUAAGCUGGCCGGGGGGAUUGCAAAUCUCACUUUCUUCACUUGAUGAACCCACAAAGGGUUUAUUCCUCAGCGAAAGCCCACUGAAAUUCUGAAUAUUUGCAUCUGCAAUGUUCUGCUGACUCCACGUCCCAUGAACAAAAGCAUUGAUUCGCCUCUCUGCCCCGGUGUCACUGCUGCCAUCACUACUUGUCUCCCUGGAUGACUCAGCGUCACUCUCCUCACCAGGCCUCCUGUCCAAAGAAAUGAAUGAAAUUCCUUUAGCCAAAGCAUGACAGUUUCAGAUCCCACCAAGGCAAUGACAGUAAUGUCAAUAAAUAAUAGACCACACAAACAAUCUGACAGGACAUUAUGACAACAGCACCAUCUUAGUUGUUUCUAACAAGAUGAGUAAUCCAUGUAAUACUUCAGCACUUGCUGCAUUUAUGAGUUCGUUAUAAUCUGAUGCUAGAAAUUACCUCCACAUCAUCAAGAACCAUACAACUAUCUAACCUAAGCUUGAAUGCUCAUCCAGCAUUUCCAACAGAAAAGGAAUGGACUGCUUCAAUGGCUAAACGAAAUACACAAGAAAUUCCCUUUCUGCUCUUCGCAGACUAAUACAAAAUUACAAGAUGCCAGCAAUAGAGUUAAGGAUAUAGCCAAGUUUUAUCAAAAGCAUAUCAAAAUAAGAACAUUUGGCAGCAAAACCCAGUAACUAAAAAAGAAAACUGUUAUAAAUGAGAAUUCUGGGACAAUGUCUCACCUCAACCUUGAGGAAGGUCUCGAUGGGUCCAUGUACAGCUGAAUGCCAGACAAGUAUGGUACAUAAUACUGCUUGACAGACUCGUUCCCAUCCAACAAGAGGGGGACACCAGCUCCAUAAGCACUCCAUUCCUUAAAUGAUUCCCACAAAUCCCCAAGCACAAAGUACGGCUGAAAUUCUGUUUCCUGGCUUCUCCAUCUCCUCACACUUGUCUAUAACAAAUUCCACAAUGUAACAAAAAAGGAAGAAGUAAAGAAAAGGAGAACAGAGAAACCGAGAAAUAUUGAACAAAUGCCACAUAAAUACAUUCCAGCAAGAAAAGAUUGCAUUGUGGAGAAUUUUUUAUUUACUUUUUUUGGUCCUGAUUAAAGCACAAGAGAAACGUGCAUAAUUAAUAUUGAUUCAUAAAUACUCUCAAACAAUCAAGAUAACUGUAUCAUCAGCAUGCUUGCUAGUAGAAAGGAAAAAGAAAAGUGAAGGAAAGGACACAGACGAAGCUCCAUUCUUCUUGUCCUUUUGGUUGCUAUGAUAAACGUUCAAGGAAAUACAGCUCUUUCACUAAUUGACAUCCCCUAACAACAAAAGCAAGAGACAUUUAUAUCUAAAUCAGACAAUAUGUGCUGAAGUUACCAUACACAUAUCCACAUUCAUUUACUUUUACAUAAAAGAACGUAAAAUCAUAAAUUAUAUCUCCCCAUCAAUAAGCUUUAUUGUUUUUUUCUUGGGUCCCUAUACUCUAUUCCAUUCACCACCGUAAGCAUUUGGCUUGUGCAUCCCCCAUUACCUUUAGUGUCAAUGUUUCCAACCAACCAAACAGGCAAAACAGCCUCUCUUCUACCCUUUCUUUUUCAACCAUAUAUUGCUUCCCUAAUUUCUCUCUUACUGAACUAUGAGUUAUUCACUAAUUCCCUUCCAAGCAACCUAAUAAACCAAAAUUUAAAGACUAAAAUUUUCAUUCAGCUCCAAACAUAUCAACAUUUUCUAACGGAAUAACAAAGAACCACCACCACAACAAAUCCCUAAAAACCAAAAUUACAUGGAAGUCAACUCCAAUAGACAUAAAUAUACUAAAGACUGCAUUCCAACCCCCUCAAAAUUCAUAAAAAUUCUAAAUUUUCAUCAUCUCAAUUAAUAAAACUAAUAGAAAUUGCAAUAAGAGACAAAAAUUAACAGCUUUCAAAACUCAUUAAUAAAGCAUAGUAAUAAUUUCGACAAUUUCAUCAAAAUUGAUUUAAAAAAAAAUGACAAAAAGUGAUUUUUUUUUUUUUUUUUGUGACAAUCACCUUAGGAAGAUACUGAGAGGGCACCACAGGAGUCGUGUACUCCAAGAACCUAUCCAAAUUCGUCGAUUCACCAAACGAAUUCGAAACCGAUUCACAUUCAUCGCUCUCCGCUGUUCUCUUCUCCGAACAACUCAACUUCUCCAACCUCAGCCGCUCGCGCUCCUCCCGCACUCUUUGUUUCUCCUCCUCUUCCUCCUGUUGCCGCCGCAACAACUGCUGCUUCCGCACGUGCGGCGGAUUGUAAAACCGGUUCUCCCCGCGCCCUCCGCGGCCGAUCGGAACCGUUCUCGAACCGGACAUUAUCGCAAUCGGAAGGAGAAUUAAAACGAAACGACGCAGUUUUUUGAGUUCCCAAUCGAAAGAAACUGAAACGAAGGUUUUCAAUAAAAGUGAACAGUGAUGUGAAGAGUAAAGGUUUCGACUUUCAAGAUCUAGGGUUUUAGUUUUCGCUGCCGUUAAUUAUAAUAAUUAUUUUUAUAAUCGCGAUUAAAUUUUUUAAAUAGUGAUUUGUAUUAUGCAGAUGUGGCGAUGUGAUGAAGUGAAGCGUUUUGUGUAAUUGUGUUGGACCAGAAAAAUAAUGGAAAUUCAGAUUCUUCUGAAGAAGAUAUUUAUUAGUUUGAAACUCGAAAAGAGUAGGCAACUGUGGGAUAUACUCAAGAGGCGCGAGAAGAAUCCAGAAUGAUGAGAUCAUCAAUGUAUUUUAUUCGAGAAAUUUCUUGGCUUUAUUUUUUAUUUUUUUUGUUUGUUUUUUUCAGUUUCUUGGACUAAUCAUUUUGCUAAUUUAGAUAUUAUUAUUAUUAUUAUUAUUAUUGACUAUAGAGUUGUAAUUAUCUUAAAAUGCUGAUGGGAUCUGAGUUUAAGAUCUUUUUGAUAUGACCCAAAAUGGGAUAUUCUUAAAUUCAUUUUAAUAUUGGAAACUUCUUCUGUCACCAUGUCUUCAUAAUAAUUAAAGUUUUAAUAUUGAAUAAUCCAUUAUUUCAUUUGGUGCUUCACAUACCUGAAGUGACUAUACAGCAUGCAUAGAAAAUUUUUGCAUUUUGCUAGAAAAUAUAAGCAAUAGGAAAAUCAUGAAUCUGCAGUCGAUAUAGAUUUACAGUUCUAAGCCCAAAGCCCAAGAAGAAGAAGCCCCAGUUUGUGGCCCGAUUUUACAAAAAUUUCAGAGCCCAGCAUGCCCAAAGAUAAAAUCUGAGAAUUUUCUUCUAGAAGUACAUGAUAUGAUCUUAUGAAACCAAUUCGUGUGCUGCAGGAUUUUUAAUUAUACACAUUAUAAUAGUUGAGUAAUUGUGGAGAUAUGUUUUAUAUUUAUUUAAAUGGAUAUUCAUUCUAAGGGACAGCCAUUCAAUGUUGAUGUAAUUUUUAUGUCGUGGUUAUUUGUUCAGGAUAUAUAAAUAAUUAAAAUUUAAACGUAUAUUAUUAUAAAUGUACGUGCAACCGAAGAUCAUUAAAAAUGAUUAGUACUAAAUCUAAAUUUAUUUUUAAAAAAUGAAGGCGGCCUAAAUGAUUGGCAUGUUGUUUUGUCACCAGCAUUUUAUAAAUUUAUCCGUUGAAAUCAAUGAAAUUAAUAAUUUGUAGUAUUUUUUUAUUAUGAAAAAAAAUUCAAUUUUGUUUAUAUCCUUCUAGAGGAACAAUAUUCAUCCCACUCAUAUGUGCAUUAUAUCCAUAUUUUUUUUUUCUUGGGUAAUAAAUAAGUAUUGCCUCAUAAACUUUUGAUUAUAUCCAUAAAUUGAUAUAAGAAAGCUCUUUUUUUGUUUUACAUGAUAACAUGAACCUUAUAUGUUAUUCUUAGGUGCUCACGCUUUGAUCUGAUCCGACUUGAUCCACAAAUAAUUAUAACUUAAUCCAAUCCGAACUCAACCUAGAAUUUUUAUCCAAUCUGAUCUAAAUAGAGUUUGAAUCAGACCAAAUCAGAUUACAAGUUCAAAUAACUUUUUUCCCAACUCGAACAACUUGAAACCCAAUCAAAUUGACCCGAACUUGAAUCUGCCCACCCCUAAUACCAUUUGAUAGCUGACCUAGUAACCAUUGUGUUUUUCGUAAUUUUUUAAAAAUCAUGGAUUGUGUGACCCUAGUCAUCACUCUUCUUGGUAAAAUAUUGUGUUGCAUGGUCGAACAGACCAUUUACAUCCAUCGUCUUGAAGUUAACUUAAACAAAUUGAGAGAUGCAAACAAAGUCUCGAUGGCCUUAAUAACAAUGUUAUAGGGAGAGUUGAGCAUGCGAAAGAAGGUACUCGCCUAGAAAGCAUAUGGAAGAGUGGUUGGAGAGAGCACGUCGAGAGUCACAGGAAGUUGAAUCCAUUUUGCAGAAAGGUGAAGACAAGAAAGACUAGUUAUGUACGUAUAAUAAUUGUUCCAAGAAUUGUUAUUUCAACUACAAUUAUGGUAAGAAAAUUUUUGAGAUGACAAAUGCUGCCAUUGAGUUUCUAGCACAAGUAAAAUUUAAUGGAGCUACUGAUUGAAGUCCCUUUUUACUGUGGACGAGAUACUGUAAGAAGUCAGUGGGCAUUAGCUUUAGACUAAAUGAAGUUUGGAGCUAUAUUGAAGAUGAUGAUGUGAGAAUCUUUAGCUUGUAUGGAGUUAGAGUGAUUGGGAAGAGCACUUUGUUAAACCUACUUAAUAAAAAUUUCAGCCAACCAAACCUCAACCUCAACUUUGACAGGGUAAUUUUGGUUAAGACUUUUGGAGUCUGGAUUACGGAUUUCAAAUUCUUCGUGGAGCAACAAGGAUAAGAAUGGCAGAGCAUUUGAAAUAUUCAGAAAAUUAUACAACAAGAUGUUUGCCUUCUUGUUGGAUGAUUUACGAACAACAAUAUCGUUAUUCGAAGUUGGUGUGCGUCUUCACAGUAGAUCGAAGAUAGUUUUGACCACCAUAUUUGAGAGAGCGUGCAGAAGCAUGAGCUUUGACAAAUGUUAAAAAGUCAAUUAUUUUUUCAGAACAAGAAGCAUUUAAUCUGUCCUAGCUCAAGUUCACCUACGCUAAACUGAACUCUCAUUCUUAUGUACUUGCAAAACUUGUGUCUAGCGUCUCUGAAGGCCAUUCCCUUUCUCUUAUUACCAUACUCUUAUUACUAUCGGAUGCGCAAUGCCCUGUAAUAUAGGCGACCCUGAUCUUGGCAUCAUACAAUUGAUGAAUUGACAAAAUAUCGGUAAACAAGAAGUUUGCCUUCUUGUUGGAUGAUUUACGGACAUCAAUAUCGUCAUUAGAAGUUGGUGUGCCUCUUCACAGUGGAUCAAAGAUAGUUUUGAUCACCAUAUUUGACAGAGCGUGCAGAAGCAUAAGCAUUGACAAAUGUUAAAAGGUCAAUUAUUUUUCGGAACAAGAAGCUUUGAAUUUGUUCAAGCUCAAGGUCACCUAUGGUAAGUUGAUGAUACACCGGCAAAACUUUUGGCUGGUACGUGUGAAGGCCAUCUGCUUUCUCUUAUUACUAACGGAUGCGUCAUGCCUUGGAUAAUAUUGGGGACCCUGCUCUGGCAUCAUGCAAUUGAUGAAUUGACUAAAUAUCGGUUUGAUUUUGAAGAUAUGGGGACUCAUUUCUUUGCUCACUGCGAUCACUUUUUAGGUAAAUUUUUUGAAUCUUCAUUUUUCUUUGUUUCCUCAAAUUUUUAUGCCCUCUGAUCUCUAGUAUAAGGCACAUUCAAACAUAUCCCUUUUAAGCAAAAGCAUGAUGUUUGAAGGUAAUAAAAGACAAACAAUUCUUUAGAUAUAACAAUGACCUUUGCUUGGCAUUUUCAAACCGACUUUAACAACUACCCAUUAACAUAAUUUUAAACAUUUGCUUCAGUUUCGAAGUGAAAUGAUAGAAUCCGAUCAUGAAUAUUGAAUAGAGUGGGCGAAGUGAAAUAUUUUCAGUAAUGAUGUUUUACAAUGAGCUAAUACAUACACUCAAGUGUUAGGACAUGGUAUUGAAAAAAAAGGAAGUGUCGGGACAUGAUUUUCGAUUGAAUUAGCCGCUUCGUUCCAGUAAUAAAUGGCACAAAUACUAGAUAUGGUUUUGUAGAUGGCCCAAAACUAAAAGGAAAUCCACAUUAUCCAGCCCAUUUUUUAGGAAAAAUACAGAGCCUUGUGUGCCCAAAACUCAUUGCCUAAUCUUCUAGAAACAGAAAAAAAUUACCAUAAAAAUCAAUGCAUAUGCAGCUCUCAGAUUGACAUGCAAGUUGUGAACAUGCGGAAUAGCAAUAGUAAUCAGUGGAUUUUCUGUCUGUUUUACCUAAAACUUUCAACUGUACAAGUAAACAAAUAUUAGAAAUUCAGUAUUAAAAGUUUGGGUGCAGCUGCUUGCUUAAUUUAUUGGCAUUUAUUAACCAUGUGGAUUAAUUUAUUGCACAAUAUAAAGCAUAUGGGUGUUUUAUUGAAAAUUUAUCGAGUAUUAUAUUUAAACAAUUACAACAAAGGCUAGCAACUGUAUUGGAGCUUAGCUAUUGGCUAUUGGCUAUUUAAUCAGGUUUUCUAGGAAGCAAAUUAUUUAUAAAUAUUUUUAGUAAUGGGCGGUGGCACAGUAGACAGAACACCUUAAUGGAAUGUGCACGCUUUGAAUUCAACCAAGUUAUCUCCCUCACUUCCAUGUCUAUAUAAACCCUUGAGUUGUUCGUCAUUCUCAUCACAAACUCAAAAAUCAUCUGCAUUUGAAGCAAAUUCAUUCAUCAUUUUAACUUCUUGUAGUGUGUGCAUUUCUCUUUCAUUCUCUUUUUAAGCUAAUUAACAUGGGUGUUAUUCGCUUUGAGAAAGAUGCUCCAGCUGCUGUUGCUCCUUCAAGAAUGUUCAAGGCUUUCGUUGACUCUCACAAUCUUUUACCAAAGAUAGUACCACAAGCAUUCAAGAGCAUCGAUAUUCUUCAAGGAGAUGGAGGCGUGGGCACUAUCAAACUAUGGAACUUUGCUGAUGGUAAGUCUUGUUUCUGCUUGUUAAUUUUCCAAGUCCAAGAUUCCCCUUUGUACCACGAUUCAAAUUAAUCGCACCUGACAUUAAUAAUAUUUCAUUAUCCGUCAACUUUUUAACUUCAUAAUUAGUGUUACAAUUUUUUUUUUACAAUGGUCAGAUUUUACUAUUUCAAAUAUCAAAUUAUUUAUCUUUGUAAUGUCAGAGUGGUUCAUGACAAAGAACUGAUCAAUUUCGAUCGUUAAAAAGACAAAAAAAAAAGGGCUUGGUCAUUUUUCUCAUUAAUCAUUACAUCGUGCAUGUUGUUCGUAAAGCGUAACAUAGAUAAGCUAACGAAGGUUCAAUGUAAUUCACAGGUGGCGAUUUCAAGCAUUCGAAGCAAAGAAUUGAUGCAUUUGACAAGGACAAUCUUACAUGCAAGUAUACUGUCUAUGAAGGUGAGGGAGCAGCUGAAAUCUUUGAGAAAGCAGUGUACGAUGUUAAAUUCGAGGCUUCUGGCAAUGGUGGAAGCAUUUGCAAGGUUGCUGCUGAGUGCCAUAUAGAGGGUGAUCAAGAGCUCAAAGAAGAGUUGAUGAGGGACGCCGAAGAGAAAGCAACUGCAUUGUACAACAUUGUCGAAGCACAUCUCUUGGCUAAUCCUGAUCUCUAUGCCUAAAUCGCAUCAUUAUUGGCGUUUUCGAUUUCUGAAUUUGGUUGCUAAUUGAAUAAAGGGUUGUCUCACUGUGAGCUUCUAAUUUGUUGUUUGACUUGUUUCGGCUCAUCUUUGGUUCUUCUAAUAAUUAUGUUUAGUUGAAGCUUGAACGUUACCUGUUUUGUUCAAUAAACGUGUAAGGUCAAUUUAUAAAUGACCGUUGAUUUUAUUGUUUUUAAUAAAAGUGAACAAUGAUAUGAAUGGUAAAGGUUUCAAUUUCAGGAUCUAGGGUUUUAGUUUUCGUUAAUAAUAACAAUAAUUUAUAUAUAAUUGGGAAUGAAAGGGGAAUAGUCUUAACAUACUUUAUAGCUAGAACUUAUGCCUUCGAUAUUAAAUUAUAUCAUUCAAUGUUUAUUUACGGAGGAUAAAAAAAUUGUAGAUACACAAAAACUAAAUUUUAUAUUAAAUAUAAAGGAAAAAAAAAAAAAAGAAGAGUCGCACCAUACUUUUGAAACUUGAAUCAAUGUAAGUAGCUUAAAAAUGUAUCAUUCUAUGGUGGUUUUGUGGGAAAAAAAAUAAAGAUACAUAAAUACAAAGCUUCAUAAUAAAUCUCAAUUCUUUUCUAAAAAAAAUUGUUUGGAAUGUUAAAUUAACUUGAAUUGGAUUAUACUGGACUAAACUAUUAGUAUAAUUAUUUUUAUAAAGAAUGGGACUAUUAGCACCCCAAUAAUUUCUUUUUAGAAUUUUUUUUGUAUAUUAAUCAUUUGAUAUCCAAAAACCACAUUGAUCUCUAAUUAAUCUAGAUUCAAAUUGGGUAUGACUACUAAGGCAGCAAAGCUCUCCCAACGAAUAUUUAACGCACUUGAAUUCUCAAGUCUCGAACCAAGAACCUUGAUUAAGUUAGAACAAUCUCAUACUAGCUGAUCUAAGCACUCGUUGGUUUUAAAAGCUAUUUUCGAUCAAGAGCUAUUUUAACUUCUAAAACAUCCUUUCCUAAUUUGUUUAGUUUCUUCCUCUCUACUCCAAAUCUCCAAAUAUGAUUUUCUUAUACAAAAUUUAUAUAUGUUAUUUAACUUCUAAAACAUCCUUUUUAAUAGAAUCACACGAAUUAAAAUGCCAAGUGUUGUGAAGAAAAAAAAAAGGAAAAAAUUGUAAAAACUGUUAUUGUGACUAUAUGGGUGUAAAUGCCAGAGAAACAAACUUAUGGAGAGAGAAAAUAUAGGUUGAUUUAUUUUGUCCUUUAAUAUAAUUGUGAUAAGAGAGGAGUUUUAUAAAAAUUAUAAAGGAGUGUUAAUAGUCCCACUCAUUCACAAAAUUUGCCGUGUAUUAUAUAUUGCAUGACCUCAAUUCUGUAAAUUUUCUCGACAAAUGAAUAGGUCUGGUGCUACACAUACUUCAAGUGAGUAGUAAGCGUUGAAAAUUUUAGCUGGAAAAAAGAAGCAAAAAGAAAAUAAAGAACAAUAUGUCAAUAUUUGCACUGCUACGAAAGUAAAAUCAUGAAUGUUCAUCAGCAUGCAAAUGAUCGUAAAUAUUGGACAUUAGGUUCAUUAGUUUUAGCCCAAGAAUCCAAAAAGAAAAAGAACCCAACCUUCGUGGCCCGAAUUUAAAACAAAUUUCGAGCCCAGCGUCUACAAAGAGAUAAAAUCUGAGAUUGAUAUUCCAGAAGCAGAACAUAUUCACUGCGAAAAUCAACGCUUAUACUGCGGGACUAUUAAUUAAAAAAAUAAAAAUAAAAAUUUCUUUCAUUCCGAUAAGAUGAGUAUCAAACCAAAACACAAUAAAAGUACACCCUAAAUAUAAUAAGUUUUGUCAUUUAUCCGUUGAAAGUCACUCAAAAAAUUUAUUCUGAAUGUUGGAUAUAUCCGGAUUGAAAAGGCACGUAACAAAGCUUGUGUCCUUGAAAAUUGGAUACCUACACCUGAAGAAAGAAAAGAAAUAAAAUACUAUAUAAAGUGUAAUAGUUGGAGCCCAACUAUUGGCCUUUUAAGAUUAAAGAAUCCUCAUGUUUGAUAAAUUUUUUUAGGUGGAUGUCAAAUUCGUUGUCUUGAAUUCCACUCACUUCCAAGCCCUCUAUAUAAACCCUUGAGAAGUUCUUCAUCUUCAUAACAAACACAAAAGCUAUCGCUACCGCAGCAAAACUCAUAUUUAACAUGGGUGUCCUUCGCGUUGAGAAAGAGGUGCCAUCCGCUGUUGCACCAUCAAGAUUGUUCAAGGCUUUAAAUGACUCCCACAAUUUGCUGCCGAAGAUAGCGCCUCAAACAAUUAAGAGCAUCGAUAUUCUUCAAGGAGAUGGAGGUGUUGGCACUGUCAAGCUGUUGAAGUUUGCUGGUGGUAAGUAGUAUACAUAGCUUUAUUAAUUGCUACAUGCAUCAUGCUCGUUCUGUUUAAUUUUCAAAUCCAAAAUCUCACAAACUUAAUUAAAAAUGUAAUUAAAGAAGAUUGAAUUAGUAUUGGGAUUGACAGGUGGCGAUUACCAGCAGACGAAGCAAAGAAUCGAUGCACUUGAUGAGGCCAAUUUAACAGGCAAGUACACUACGUAUGAAGGAGAUGGGCUUUUGAAAUUGGCUGAGAAAAGUGUGUACGAUAUUAAGAUCGUGGAUUCUGGCAAUGGAGGAAGCAUCUUCAAGUUUGUUGAGGAGAUCCAUGUUAAUGAUGAUAAACUGGUCAAUGAAGGGUACAUAAAGGAAUCCGAGGAACAAGGAUUGGGAUUAUUCAAGCUUUUGGACGCCUAUCUCUUGGCUAACCCCAAUCGCUACGCCUAAAUUAAUCAUCAUAUGCAUUGGCUUUGCCAAUUACGAAAUUUCUAGCUAGCUAAUCAAAUAAGGCUCGUGCCAUUGUAUGUAAAUAAGCUUUUGAAGCUGAAUGUAAAUAUGCGUACGUACGUAGUGUGAAAUGAAGGACUUGGGAGCAGCAAACAAGAUUCUAGGGAUGCAAAUUUACCGAGACAGAAUUAACAGGAAGAUUUGGCUUUCGCAGACGAAUUACUUGAAGAAAAUCUUGCGGCGCUUCAACAUGCAAGAUUGUAAGUCAAUUUCUACCCCACUUCCUGUUAAUUUCAAAUUAUCCUCAAGUAUGUGUCCUAGCAAUGAAGCAGAGAGGAAGAAGAUGUCUCGAGUACCGUAUGCAUCAGCAGUGGGAAGUUUGAUGUUCGCUAUGAUAUGUACACGACCGGACAUUGCACAAGCAGUGGGAGCAGUCAGUCGAUACAUGGCGAAUCCUGGUGGAGAGCAUUGGAUAGCUGUGAAGAGGAUUCUGAGAUACAUCAGAGGAACCUCAGAUGUUGCAUUAUGUUAUGGAAAAAGUGGUAUAUAAAAGUUGUUAUGUGGACUUUUUUUUUUACCCUUUGAUUGUGAACGUCUUUAAAUAAAAACUAAAAGUUGAAAAAAUUACAUACACUCUACACUGAUGCAAUCGUUCCUCUUUUUCCUUUUUCUUUUAUCUGCCCUAAUAUAUCCGAUUUCUAUAUAUGCUAUGAAUUUGGUAACAAAAAAAAAAAAAAUAUUUAGUAUUUUGAUUCCAAGAUGUAAGAUAUUUUUUUUUGAGACACUGAUAUAUUAUAAUUAGAGCUCUACUGAUAUUUGAUUUUAUUCAAUGUGGAGAGACAAAUAAACACUUAUUAUACAUGAAUGUCAAGUUUGUGCUAGCGCUGGAACUCAAACCCAUACACCCAAGGUUGUUCGGCGCAUGGGUGCAUGGGUAUACCAAUGAGCUACGGGCCCAUUAAUUGUCAAAAGCAGCCAUCUAGAUGGUUUGAAACAACCAUCUAGAUGGUCAGCAUCCAUGUUGUUCAAAGAAGAGGAAUUUUGCAGCAAGUUGGAAAGGAAAAGGAGCACACGGGUUUGACAUUUGAAAGAAGAAAAAAGAACGUAAAAAUAAUAUAGAAUUGCUGCAUAGUGCCAAAGUUUUCUCUAUAAAUAGAAACGAAGAGAAUGAGCAAAGGCAUUCCAUUUUUGUGAGAAGCAAUUCUUGCAUUUAAGAGAGUAGAGAAUUUUGUAGAGCUUAAAUAAUAAAGCUCUUGUUUUAGUGUUUUGAGAGUUUGAGUGUAUUGAGAUUUUGGGAAGUGAGCUAAAAUACUACAAUACUUGUAACUCAUUUUCACUAGUGAAAUAGAUGAACUCAUUAUCUUCAAACCUCUUGUAAUAUGCACAAUGGUCUGAAUUAAUAACCCAUUGGCAAGAUGCAAGGCAAUUAAAGUACGAUUUUUAGAAUUGAUUUUUACCAUAUGCAUGAAGAUGAAGUUAAGAUUUUUAUUUUAAAUUAUGGGACACAUGAUCUUGCAGUCAACGAUUGUAAGUCAAGUAAUUAAAGUCUCGUAAAUGUCACAAUCUCUUAGGAUAUUAAAUAUGAUUACAUUUAUUAGGACCGAAAUAUACCAACCAUUACUUAAAGAGUUAUAAAAUCAAAACUUUGGGUCAAUGCAAACUAUAUAUACAUAUAUACAAGGAUUUGGGCUUAGCUGUGCGAAGGAUGCGUGAAGAUCAAAGACUCAAUUAUUGGCAGAAAAGAAAUAUAUAUAUAUAUUAUUUAAAGCCGAGAAGAUAAGAUUGUUGAGAUUCUAUCUAAGGAAUCGCCAUUGCCAAGGAUAUGAUUUCAAUUGCCAACAUUAAUUCAAAUAAAAAAAUUCAUAUACUGAAAUUCAUUUUUUUUUCUCAAUUAAUUUAUGCUUCAAUCAAUCAAUAUCUUCGAUUGCCUAUUUUCAAGCCCCCGUAUUUUACUGGCCAAACUGUUUAGUUGGUGAGUGAUUUGGUGCAAUGAAAUCUUGCAGAUAUUUUGUUAAGUCAUUCGAUUGGCUUUGUCACAAUGGCUUUACACCUAAGAAAACGACUUUACUCCAUGAAUUUGUAUGAAAAAUUAGGACUUUAUGCAGAAAUUGAAGCACUUUUGGUCGCAAGAGGAUUUGCUUUAUGCAAUUGCGAGAUUUGAUCAACUUUCAUUACACAAAUUUUUAUCAACUGUCUUUAUUAAAGUUAUAGAAUGCGCAAGGUUUAAAUUAAUUUUUUUAAUUUCUACCUUCAUUGCGAUUUGAAUUAGGGUGGUCUCAGCUAAAUACUUAAUAUAAUCUUAAAUGCAUCUUAUUCUUAUCUAACUUAAUCAUCGCAUGGUCAAGAUAUUUAUAUUUCCCAAAAAAAAAAAUGAAGAAAAAUGUGACAACAUACCAGAAAUUAUAGCAAUUACAACUUUACAAGUAACUCAAUGCUUGUGGUUGCAAGUAAAUUUGACAAAAUCCAUGUGAUGUGCCAUGUGGACCACUCAAUGCCAUCAUAAUUGGCCACGCUAAUUCAACAGCACCAACCAACCCAAUAAUACAAUUCCCAAGCAAACAAAAAUUUGAGGCAAAUAAUACCUCACAAAGCAAUGGGCCAAGAACAAGAAACCAUCUCCCAAGUUCCCUUUCUUGAAGAUCAACAACAACAGCAAUCUACCAUAACCGUAACCUCCAAGAAGUUAUCCCUCCUUCCUCUCAUCUUCCUCAUCUACUUUGAGGUUGCCGGGGGCCCCUACGGUGAAGAACCCGCAGUAGGAGCGGCCGGGCCGCUCUUCGCUAUCUUGGGCUUCCUCAUUUUCCCCUUCAUUUGGAGCAUUCCUGAGGCCCUAGUGACUGCUGAACUUGCCACAACUUUCCCUGGAAAUGGUGGCUACGUCAUUUGGGCCCACCAUGCUUUUGGUCCCUUCUGGGGAUCCCUAAUGGGCUCCUGGAAAUUCCUCAGUGGUGUCAUAAACCUGGCCUCGUAUCCAAUUCUUUGCAUUGACUAUCUCAAAUUGGUCUUCCCGAUUUUUGCUUCAGGUUUUUCUCACUACCUAGCAAUUUUUGUGGUAACUUUAGUUUUGUCCUUUUUGAACUACACGGGCUUGGCUAUAGUGGGUUACACAGCAGUCACUUUAGGUGUAGUUUCACUUAUACCAUUUCUAUUCUUGACUGUAAUUGCAAUUCCCAAGAUUGAUUCUAUAAGAUGGAUUAGCUUAGGCCAAAAUGGGGUGCCAAAAAAUUGGAGAUUAUUUUUCAAUACCCUUUUUUGGAACCUGAAUUUUUGGGACAACGCAAGUACUUUAGCGGGUGAAGUUGAGCAACCCCAACGUACUUUCCCAAAAGCACUUUUCUCAGCUGGGUUACUCACCUGUGUAGCCUAUUUGCUGCCACUUUUGGCUGCCACUGGGGCUAUACCAUUAGAUCAACAAAAUUGGGUUGAUGGGUAUUUUGCUGAAGUAGCUGAAAUUAUAGCAGGCAAAUGGUUAAAAAUUUGCAUAGAAAUUGGUGCUUGUUUGUCAAUUAUUGGACUCUAUGAAGCUCAAUUAAGUAAUUGCGCGUACCAAAUUUUGGGCAUGACUAAUUUAGGACUUUUACCAAAAGUUUUUGGAUCAAGAUCAAGUUGGUUUCACACGCCUUGGGUUGGAAUUUUCAUUUCAACAUUAAUAGCCUUAACGGUUUCUUAUAUGGAUUUCACAAAUAUAAUAUCUUGUGUGAAUUUUUUGUAUAGUUUGGGAAUGCUACUAGAAUUUGCAUCUUUUUUAUGGCUAAGGAAAAAGUUGCCUGCAACAAAGAGGCCAUUUAGGGUGCCGAUGGAGAUGCUUGGUUUGAUUUUUAUGUGCAUAAUUCCAUCUGGGUUUCUGGUUUAUGUGAUGGUUGUUGCUACUAAAAUGGUCUGCUUUGUGAGUGCUUUGUUGACAUUUUUUGGGAUUUUUUUAUACUUUUUUAUCAAGUUGUGUAGAUCAAACAAGUGGCUUGAGUUCAAGAAUUUUGAAGAAAAGUUAGAUAACGAGGAUGUAAAUUAGUUUUUUUUAAAGGUUUUUUAGGGGGUUUCUUUUGAGUUUUAGAAACGUUUCAGUUGUAUACUUAUAUUAGUUUUCUUUGUAGAAAAUUAGAAUGAGAAUCAAUGUUGGAAACUUUCAUUGAACAUAUGGAGGAGGAUAAUCCAUAAUCAUAUUAUUUCUUCUUUUAUUGUGCUGACGAAAUAAUUAAUUAGAAAACUAUAGUUAAAUAUUUAGCAAAAUGUGUUGUUAGUUGUGUAUGGUGAAUUUCAAAAUCAGAGUAUGUUUGCAGUGUUGUAACAUUAUAAAGUUGACCAUAGUAAACAAGCUUAAAUUACCCACAUCUUUUUUAAGUUCCUUUUUUUUCCCUAACAUUCUCAAACUUAUACAAGGUGCCAAAACAAAGUCGCUUGAUUCAAAAUGCAAUGAACUUCACAAUUAAUAAUAAUAAUAUUAUUAUUAUUAUUAUUUAUUUUUUUAAUGAAGUUGUGUAGAUCAAGGGUGUUUAAAGAACUUUACAUUUGAAUUUUCAAGUGGAUUCCAAUGGAGAAAAGUCAAAUUAAAGUGGAUAUAUGAUCCAAUUCACAUAUUAUAUAGAUGAUCGACUAGUAGCAUAAUUGAAACUACCCCAUGAAUCAAUUCAUUAAUUUAUUCUCAUGACCAUGAAAGCUACAAAUUGGUGAUAGCCUAAAUGCCAUCAAUUUUUGGGAGCAAUGAUAUUUGAACUGAAAAAUAUAAUAUGAUGGCAACAAAAUAAAGUUACACUUGUAGGGAUAACCCUGCACGGUUUACUUAUUUUUUUUUUUUUUUUCAUUGCCAUGGCGACGAGCCGUCGACCUUCGGGCUCCUUAUUAUUUUUCAUAUUCGACGGGUAAGUUUUUAGCAUGGGCCCCGAGACAUUCUCUGUACAAUCUAUUAGUUGAAAUGCAAACCAAUAGUUACGGCAAAGAGCAAACUUAGAUAUUUAAUGCGUAGAUUUAACAUUAACUGAUACCAGGCGAAAUACAUAUUGGCAUUCAAUUACAAACAUUAAUAGUUUAAGUAAAGAUUAGAAAUAUUAUUUAAUUUUAUGAAAUAUAAAUUAAAAACCACAAAAUAUAUAUCAGCUUUUUGUGGCAAAUACAUAAUGUUCGUACUCAUGCAAGUGGAUAGGAAGAUCGAGUGCCGAUGCCACAGAGACCUUCAUCUCUGACAAUCUUCAUGUAGCCAGCGUCACCCCAAGUGUUCCCCCAUGAAUUCUUAAUUAACCAGUAAUUGGCUCCAUCUUCAGUUGUUCCAAACCCAACAAUAGUGACGGCAUGAUCCAAUUGAGUCCCACAUACUCCAUUGAAAAUGGAAUUCUGUACUGUAGGCAGCAAUGGCAAUGGAUACUGGCUGCAUGCUUACAGCCUUGAGUAAAGCCUGCUCGUCACCCGAGGGUACUUCUUCAUAAUUACUGAUUUUAGCAGCAGCUGGCUUCUGUGCGGCACUGCAAGUUCCUGGGACUGCCUGGUACGGAUAUUCGUCUUCUGUGGCAAUACCCUGGUUUUGUAUAAUAUAUGCAAAGGCUUUUUCCCUGGAACCGCCAAGGCAUCCGUUGUUGCCAUUUGUCGAGCAGUCUAGCAAUUGUUGCUCCGAAAGUUGAAUCAGAUUACCACUGCGAAUUUUAGUGAUCCCUUCCACUGCCGCCACCGCUGCAAAUGCCCAACAGCAUCCUGCACCAUAUUAAACAUAUAUAAGCUAGACGAAGCAAUAAAAUAUAAUGCUUGCAAUUCAGUCUAAUAAAUCAUUCUCAGAUGUGUGUGGCAGCGUGUUUUUACAGUGUUGUAAAGGCGUGAGUCCGCACUUGAGAAUGCUCUCUAAAUAAAAUGACGAGUGAUUCUCUAGUGUGGAUGUCCGCAUUUCAUAAAAUUAAGAUGGGCGGUCUUUCUCACAUGUUUACAGUAACGUCACAUGAAAAUUUCGUAUUUAGUAUAUGAUUCACUUAACAUAAUUCUGCUUAUUACCGCAUUCUUGCUGGUCCUUGAUAGGAGUGACAGCUUUUUUGUCCCGCCAGUCCAGGCUAGUUGGAACAUCAGUCAUGGACAGGUUUUGAUACUUGAAGGUGGAUGAUGUUGUGGAUCGAUGGCUCGGGCUUGGCAUCUUGUAUCCGGUGUAUAAAGCACGAAACUCAUCGUUGGUUAAGUCCGAAAACCGAUUGGUGCCUAACUUGUACGUCCGGUUCCCCUCCUUAUUGGCUUUCUCAAUGUAUUCAAGGUUCUCCUUGAAUAUCUUAAGCCGCAUUUCCUUCUCCAGCUCGUCCUUAUAACUGCGUCCGUGUUGAGCCAUCCAUUUUUCGUGUAUCUCAACAACGGAUUGUUCAUGCGUGGACCUGGAAGACACCACUUGUGAUGCACAACUCACCAGAAGGGUGAUAAUAAUAAACAUGGGAGUAGUAUUGAUCUUAAAACUGCCACUUCUCUCAAAUAUUAAAACCAUGGUUAAUUUUUGCAAGAUAGUUUUAUGUAUUGAUUAACAAGUUGUGAAAAAUUGAAGCACACAUCUCAGCUAUAUCUCGGAGUAUAGGACUAGCUAGCUUGUGGAUGGAAUUUUUUCUCUCAAUCAAUUAACAUGAAUCUUAUCCAGACGCAUGCAUGACUUAAUUUGCUUGUCGUAGACUUCACGAAUUUUCAAUCAAGGUUAUUAGUGGCUAAGUUUCAGUGGCUAAGUUGCAAGCCUGAGAUAUUUUUUGUACAAUUUCUUAAGUCUAUAUCACUCUGAAAAGGAAAAUGAUAAGUGAACACCAGAACCACAAAAUGAAGACAGGAACGACAAUCACUCAUUCACUUAUUAUUAUUUUUUUAUUGGGCCCACAAUUAUAUUAAAAAAAAGAUAAGUGUCUGUUUGGUUUGACUUAUUUAAUGGUCAUAAGUGCUUAUUUAAUACAAUAAGCUCCUAUCAUAAUUUUUGUUGAUGUUUGACUGUUUUUCUAAUAGAGUUUUUGAAGUUUAAAUAAGUUAUUUUACCUCUAUUAGUAAAAUUUUAAAUUUUUGGCUUUUGGAAGUAGAGGUUGAAAAACUUUUUUAAAAUGUCAAAAUAUUUAAAAUAUCAUCUACUUAUUUAACAAUCUUAUUUAUUCUUUCAUAAUAUAACUUUAAAAAAUUUACCUAUUAAAAUAAUUUCAUAAAUUUGUAAUAAAAACUCUUAUUUACAACUAAACAACUAAUUUUUUUUAGUAAAAGCUCUAUCUAUAAAAACUCUACUUAAAUAAGCUCUUCUUGAAAAGUUGUACCAAACAGAGCCUAAAUAUUAAAAAAAAAAAAAACUCUGCUUUAUCUCUAAAUCAUAAAAGGAUAUCAAACUAAACUUUAUUCACCCAUGCAGAGAGUGGACAAGAUAAUAAAAAAGAGAGAGGACAAGAUAAUAGAAGAGAGAGAGGACUGAAAACGGCAGCAUGUGCUGAAUAUUCUUCGGAUUUUAGUCAUUUUGUCGUUCGUCUUAUGCUGAAUAUUCUUCGGAUUUUUUUCUUAAUCUUUUGUUUUGUUGAUUGCUUUGUCGUUUUUACUUUGAAGAGGGAAAAGAAUCUUCAACUUCUGGAACGUGAGUCAAGAGUAGCGUGAGCAGAAGUUGAUGACAUAUUGUAUUUUUUAUUUUAUUUAUUUUUCUUAUACGCAAAGCAGCGAGCCAAGUCCAGAGCCGAAGCGAAUCAAAGGCAACAGUGAUUAGCUCAUCAGUAGGCAGUAGCUAACAUCUGUUAUAUGAUGAAAAUCUACCGGAGUUUGCGGCCCAAGUAUUUUGUAAUUUAAUGGCUCUGUCUCUGUUAAGCGUGAUUUUGCACGCUUAUUUCUUGUUUAACUUUUAAUUAUUUUUCCUUUUGUUGAAGAUAUUGCCCAUUUAAUUGCUAAUUACUUGUUCAAAAGAGAAGAAAACCCCGUCGCCCUGUUAUAAUUAGUAUGUAUUGCCCAUCCUAAUUACAUGGCACUGUAUAUUGUGGAGAUUCAUUUUCAUUAUCAACACUUUUUCAAAAGCAAAUAGUAUAUAAAGUAUCUUAUAUUGUUUCAUGAUAUCUUUCGUUUAAGUUUCUAUUACUUUAAACGUUGGUUUGUGAGGAUAUUUUAUGCAUGUGCGUUAACUGCAAAAACUUUAAUUUUCUCUUUCUUUAUUCUUUAUUACUUUGAGAUGCCUACACAGCGAUAUAUUUCCUUACUCUUAAUCUCUUACGUAGUUUUUCAUAUUAAUUGUAACAUUUAUUCUCCCCUAAACACAAGAUUUCUUCACUUUCAGUACCCUUUUAAUUAGUAGACUUUUUUGCACUCUAAACAGUAUAAACACAACAUUUCUUGCAUUAAUCAUAUAUAUAUGUGGAUUGGCCUCAAACUUUUGUGAUUGCUGCUUUCUAUUAAAACAAAAAAAAAAGGAACACAAUCUUAAUAAUCAAUUUCCCAGCACAUCCUCACUUUGAAUUAAUGUUGAACGAUGUGGUCAUUUACAUGACACUAUUGAUAUUGCAUGUGUACACAUAUUAUUAUUCAUGAAGUAGAUAUGAGCAACAAAAAAUUUGUUAAAAGAAUAAUAAUAAAUAGUUUGGUAAGCAGUUGGUUUAUAAACUAAUUGAUAUAAAAAGGACACCAUUAAAAUACAUAACAGUCUUAACUCCUGGAUAUCAGCCUCUUCAACCCUACUUUACCAGGAUACUGUGUGGUAUGCAUUUGGUUCCUGGUCAACUACACCCAAAUGGGUGGAGAGUUCUUUCUGCCCUAUUUGUAUUGUGGGAAAGGUAUAAGCUCGGGGAGUCUUCCCUUGUGGAAAUAAAACAUCUAUACCAACUGAGAAGCAGUCCAAAAAAAGCGGUCUCGUAUUACUUCAUGUCGAGCUCUGCAAAAAGGAAACCUGUCACCGGUUUUCCUUCUUCUUGUAAAAACUGAAAAAAUAAAAUUUUCUUUGCUGGGGGAAAUUGGUGUCCAACGAUCCAUUCACUUAGUGGUGAUAUUCACAUUCCAACGCGUUUUAUCACUCCAUGUCGUUUAUUUUUCUUUACAUUCUACAUCUCUGGUCGUCACUUAUCUGUUUCUUUUAACCUUGUUUAUGCUUUCAGACUCGUGGGGCCUGAUCAGCUAGCUUGAUGACAGUCUGCUACUCCAUGUCGAGACUGCUUUGGUGAACCCCUCCACUUGUCAAGAGUUCUUGUCACCAACAAACCUCGUCGGGUCGGGCUUAGUCGACGUAGCUGCUGGGAUGGACAACAAAAUCCUUAGCGCCAUGUCGAGGAAACGUGCUCGGGGAACUGGUGAUUCUAGCAGCGCUCCCACUCCUCCGAAGAAGAGCCAUUCUAGUCCUUCAAAGACCCCAGCUCCUGCUUUGCCUCCUCAUCCGCCUCGAAAGAAUAGCAAAAAAAAGCUUCAUGACAAGAGUUCUAAAGUUAGCACUCAAUUUGGAGAUCGAUCCUCGCCUCUUCCGCCUCAGGAUCAGAGUGACUAUUUGACCCCGUACCAGAGGGAUUACGGCAAAUCAGUGGGGUCCAAAAUAGUCAAGGAUAUUAAGAGCAUGAAUCUUAGCGAACUAGCUGGCUCUGUUCAGAUGGUCUCUUUUAAGCUUGCCACUCUGAUUUCCUACUACAAAAAUAGGUCUGCGCGCCAUGAGAGGAAGUUUCAAGCGGAGAAUCAGGAUUUGAAGAAGAAAGUUGAGUUUGCUGACCGUUCUAAGGAGCAAUUGCUCAACCAGCACAGGCAAAUUCUAGAUCUGGAGGAUAAGGUUGUCAUUGCUGAGUUCAAGUCCUCUAAGCUCGAGAGCGAGUUUGGGGAUUUAAAGUCUGAUCUUGAGGCUGCACGGAGCGAGCGGGACACUUUGAGAAUGGCUUAUGAAGAGUAAAUCUAGUCCUUGAACGAGCAGAUAGCCGAGCUGAAAGGCAAAUCUGUUGAUAUGGAUGACCGGCUAAAUGCAAAGUAUAAUUUCGGACUCGCCUUUUGCUACAAGUGCAUCAUGUUUGUAUUCAAAAAAGAAUAUCCAGAGCUGAACAUGGGCAAGUUGGAGACAAGAGUGCAGAAGCAUAUAGACGAUGAAGGCCAGAGGGAUAAAGACCAGGGGAACUAGGGUCAGGUCAAAGAUCUUUCAAGUGGGGAGCAGGAGAAGGAGGCAGGGGAUCAAGUUUUGGGACCAGGUCAUGGGUCAACACCUGCUCCUCCAGAAGUCGCUGGUCUUUCUCUCUCCAAAAUUGCAAAUCCUCCUGCUAGUGAGAUUGUUGAGUCUUAGAAUCCAUAAAUUUACUUUCUAUGUAAAUUCAGGAUUUUCAGUUUAUUUGUCAACAUUUGAGCAUUUAUAAGCUUUUGAUGCUUUCCAACUGCUUUUUUGCUUUAGUUUUGGUUGUUUCUACAAAUUAUAUUGAGAAUUGUGCUUGCUCAUUUUUAAAAAGAUGGAUAGGAAGAGGCAAACCCUUUACCUUAGUAAAAAAUUUAUUAUUUUGCAUGUCUGUCCUUAGACGACCGAGCAGGAAUAAGCACGUGUUUGCCUUAGUGAAUUUUGUAGAACUUGUCUGCUGAUUCUUAUACGACUGAGCAGGAAUAGAUACAUAAUUGCCUUAGCGGAUGUUGUAAAACUUGUCUGCUCCUUUAGAAGACCGAGCAAGAAUAGGCACAUGUUUGCCCUAGUAAACUUUGUAGAAUUUGCCUGCUGGUCCUUUAAACAACCAAGUAGGAAUAGGCAUAUGUUUGCCUUAGUAAAAUUUUACAAAAUUUGCCUGCUGGUCUUUUAGACGACCGAGCAAAUAGGCACAUGUUUGCCUUAGAAAAUUUUUUGUAAAACUUGCUUGUUGGUCCUUAUAUGACCGAGCAGGAAUAGGCACAUAAUUGCCUUGGCGAACUUUGUUUUAAUAAGAUAGCUAUGAGUUGAAUUCAUCUCUAUUGAAUUUUUGUAGAUGCCAUUCUGGCCAACAUAUCUGCUCGGUAAUUUUCUGUUCUGGCAAUCUGCUUUACUUAUACUUCUCGGAAGAGCCCCAUCACCUGCUUUGCUUUCUUCAAAUAGAGCUCCAUCUUCUCUCCCCUUAUCUGAAACUGUUCAUCGAGCUGAUUACAGACCAGCUGGGAAUCUGUUAAGAUCUCUACCCUCUCUGCUUGUAGAGUAUGUGCCAACCUAAGCCUAGUAAUGAAAGCUUCGUACUCUGCUUGGUUAUUUUUGAGUUGGAACUCUAGUUUCACUGCAUAAGAGACCUCGGCCCUUUCUGGACUUCGUAUUACCACCCCUGCUCCAUAUCCUUGUUCACUGCGAGAUCCAUCCACCAUUACCAACCACACCCCUUUUGGUUUUUCUUGUUCAAUCGGUUAGUCCAUGAAUCUCCACCACCACCUCAAGAGAAUUCUCCACAUUAGUACUAUUGAAAGUCUCCACCACGACCACUAAAGCUGCCCCAAACGGACCCUACUUCUCCGCCACCAUCACCAAAAAAAGUCUCUACCUACAUCUUAGCACUACUACUACAAAUCUCUACCACCACCGCCACUAAAGUAUUCUCCACCUCCAUAUGAGUACUAUUUCAAGUCUCCACCACCACCACCACUAAAGCCCAAAUACUAAUGCAAAUGAGUCCAUGAAUCUCCACCACCACUACCUCAAGAGAAUUUUCCAUAUUAGUACUACUGAAAGUUUCCACCACGACUACUAAAGCUGCCCCAAACAGACCCUAACUCUCCGCCACCAUCACCAAAACAAGUCUCCACCUACAUCUUAGCACUACUAUUACAAAUCUCCACCACCACUGCCACCAAAGUAUUCUCUACCUGCACAUGAGUACUAUUCAAGUCUCCACCACCACCAUCACCAUCAAACCCUCAAUACUAAUGCAAAUGAGUCCAUUAAUCUCUAUCACCACCACCUCAAGAGAAUUCUCCACAUUAGUACUACUGAAAGUCUCCACCACGACUACUAAAGCAGCCCCAAACGGACCCUAACUCUCCGCCAUCAUCGCCAAAGCAAGUUUCCACCUACAUCUUAACACUACUGCUACAAAUUUCCACCACCACCACCACUAAAGUAUUCUGUACCUCCACAUGAGUAUUAUUCAAGUCUCCACCACCACCACCAUCAAACCCUCAAUACUAAUGCAAAUGAGUCCAUUAAUCUCUACCACCACUACCUCAAGAGAAUUCUCCACAUUAGUACUACUGAAAGUCUCCACCACGACUACUAAAGCAGCCCCAAACGGACCCUAACUCUCCGCCAUCAUCACCAAAGCAAGUUUCCACCUACAUCUUAGUAUUACUACUACAAAUCUCCACCACCGCCGUCACCAAAGCAUUCUCCACCUCCAUAUAAGUACUAUUUCAAGUAUCCACCACAACCACCAAAGCCCUUAUACUUAUGCAAAUGAGUUCAUGAAUUUCAACUACCACGUCAAGAGAAUUCUCCACAUUAGUACUAUUAAAAGUCUCCACCCGACCAUUAAAACUGCCCCAAACGGACCUUGAGUCUCUGCCACCAUUGCCAAAACAAGUCUCCACCUACAUCUUAGCAUUACUAAUACAAAUCUCCACCACCGCUACCACCAAAUUAUUCUCCACCUCCACAUGAGUACUAUUUCAAGUCUCCACUAUCACCACCACCAAAGCCCCAGUACCGAUGCAAAUAAGUCCAUGAAUUUCCACCACCACCUCAGAAGAAUUCUCCACAUUAGUACUAUUGAAAGUCUCCACCACGACUACUAAAGCUGCCCCAAACGAACCCUAAGUCUCCACCACUAUCGCCAAAAUAAGUCUCCACCUACAUGUUAGCAUUACCACUACAAAUCUCCACCACCGCUACCACCAAAGUAUUCUCCACCUCCACAUGAGUACUAUUUCAAGUCUCCACAGCCACCAUCAUUACCAAAACUCUAGUACUAAUGCAUUAAUUAAAUUCUUUUAUACAUGUUGGUAUCUUAAUUUUUUUGUACUGAUAUGCAUAUCUUUUUGUCAAAUUUAUGUAUUAAUUAGCUAAUAGAAGCUAUGGAUACCUUACGAUGAACAAGAUGCAACAUGGAGUGUUGUGCAGUCGAUCCUUGUCGAAGUUCGUGAAAUGGCUGUGUCAGAGGAAGAUGCAGUUAAUCGAUCAAAGAUAAGUUGGGACUCCAUGAUUCUGUGCUUUCGUUGCUCUUGCAGUUUUGUCGGGAUCAAAUUAUGGUUGAUGAUGUUAAGGAGCAGUUAUUGGAAGCUUUGAGCCUAACAUCUUUUGGCCGAGAUGGAGCACCAAAUUAUGAAGCCAUUAACUCUCUGCUCAACGAAAGACUCAGAAUAUCUCAAGUUAUUAAAAGGACAUUCCAAAUUAAGCAAGCUAUGGGUGUCCAAGAUACUGUCCAGGAAGUUGUUGACGAAGUGGAAAGGAGGAACAUAUCUAUUUUGAUUGUUGUUAGUCGUCUGAGGGUACUGAUCAUGUAGAAUAUUUAAAAGCUUGCAUCGAAUAUCAUAUAACAUAAGCAACUUAAUUGCAUGCCUACUAAAUAAUAAACCAUAUGACAUAUAAUGUAUGCAUGUGUUGGUUGCUGCAAGAGCUUUGGUUUUGAUUUAUUUCGUUUAUACUUUUUAUAAUUGUUGGAUGAUGUCUCUAAAGGUUGAAUCGAUUGUUCUUUUGGACAAGUAAUGGGCAAUAGUUUUGUUGUGAUAUGAGCACAAAGGAGAAAUUCACAUUAUUCUCUUUACCUUAUGUAGGGACCGGCUCAACUAUAUUUGGGGCCUUAGGCAAAUAGUUUUAAUUAGUUCUUUUUAAAAUUUAGGAUAUAUAUUAUAAUGAGUGCUUUGUUGACAUUUUUUUGGGAUUUUUUUAUACUUUUUUAUGAAGUUGUGUGGAUCAAACAAGUGGUUUGAGUUCAAGAAUUUUGAAGAAAAGUUAGAUAACGAGGAUUUAGAUUAGAUUUUUUUAAAGGUUUUUUAGGGGUUUCUUUUGAGUUUUAGAAACGUUUCAGUUGUAUACUUAUAUUAGUUUUCUAUGUAGAAAAUUAAAAUGAGAAUCAAUGUUGGAAACUUUCAUCGAACAUAUGGAGGAGGAUAAGUCAUAAUCAUAUUAUUUCUUCUGUUAUUGUGCUGAAGAAAUAACUACUUAGAAAAAAAAAAGUUAAAUAUUUAGCAAAAUGUGUUGAUAAUUAAAUAUGGUGAAUUUCAAAAUCAGAGUAUGUUUCCAGUGUUGUGACGUUAUAAAGUUGACCAUAGUAAACAAGCCUAAAUUAUUUACCCACAUCUUUUUAAGUUCCUUUUUUUCCCCUAACAUUCUCAAACUUAUACAAGGUGCCAAAAUGCAUUGAGCUUCAUAAUUCAUUAUUCAUAUCAAAUAUGAUAAUGACGAUCACACACACACGCUAGGGUUAUGAUAUUAAAAAAAAAAAAAAGGAAGGUUUACAAUUGCGUAUAAUUGUACUAUUGUUGAAACAAUUAGGUUAAAAUGGUAACUUAAAAGUAUCAUAAUUUAUUAUAGUGAAUUUAUUUGGUAAGUUGCACUUAAAAAACCGUCCCACGUUUAUUUACAAAAUGGCUGCCAAAUUAAAAGGGAAAAAAUAUUAUUAUUAUUAUUAUUAUUAUGAAGUUGUGUAGAUCCAGGGUGUUUUAAACUUUUAAAGAAUUUUACAUUAGAAUUUUCAAGUUGAUUCCCAUGGAGAAAAAUCAAAUUAAAGUGAACAUACGAUCCAAACAAAAAUUAUAAUAUAGGACUGAAAAUAAAAUAAGGAACUGUAGCAGAAACAAUAGUUAAUUGACACAAAUAAAUGAACACCUACUAUGGAGAAAGUAUGAGAGCAUAAUUCUGAUACCAUAAAACAUAAACAACUCACAAAACACCAGUACUCAGGUAACUCUUAUUGAAAAUUUUAAAACAAUUUUAAUUUUUGAUUUAUCUAUAUACCCUACCAGAUAAAUCUUGAAAAAAAAUUCUAUUUAAAAAGGAAAAAUAAACUCUAAUAUUUUUUCUCUUUCACUUUGCAUCAUUAGAGCCUUUCAAAAAAAAAAAAAAAUUCGUCGGCAUAUAUGAUAGAUGACUUCUUGUUUAUAGUUUUAUUAUCUAACGCAAUGUCAUUUAUUAAUAUAUGGUAUAAACUACAUGUCAUCCGAAUAAUUCCGACAGGCACAUACUGUGCGCUGGUGCAUCAUAUAGACGACUUAUUUAGUAAUAGUAAACUACACGACCUUUAUGUUAUACAAAAGACAACGAUAUGGCAUCAUAUGAUUUCUUCAUGAGUAACACGUCAUCUACUUUUUGAAUUCCACAUGUUUUAAUAUACACUCUUUUUUUUUUUUUUCUUUUUGAACGAUUACAUGAAAUAAUAAUAAUUAUGAUUGUAAUUGUAAACAAGUAAAAAAAAAAAAAAAUACAAGUGAAUUCCACAUUUGAGUCUCAACUACUGAGGUUGCUUAUCUAUUAGAUAAUGAGUUUUAUAAUAUGUAAAAUUACUUAUUUACUAUCCAACAAAUAUGUUACUAAAUUUUGAUAGUUAGUAGUUAGUACAAUAAAAUUAUGAUUAUAAUUACAACAAAAACUAUAAUUAUGAUUAUAGUAACAAUAACUAGAUGAUAAACUUCGGUCAUAUAAAUAAUGAUCAUUAUAUUGUAAUUGUAAAAAAAUAAAAAAAAAUUACAAGUGAGUUAGGGGGUUGCUCAUCUAUUAGAUGAUAAAUUUUAUAAUAUGUAAAAUUACUUAUUUACCAUCAAACAAAUAUAUUAUAAAAUUUUGAAGUAAGUACAAUGACAAUUCUAAUUAUAAUUACUAAGUUAAUAAUAUAAGCUCAGAACAACACUCAACUCAAUAACAAACUGUAAAUUAAUAAAGUUACGGCAACUCGAUAUUUUAUAUAGUACGUCAUGAGUGAGGAGGAGUUGAAGCUGCAAAUCGCAGUCAUGAGUGAAAACAAAUUUGAUUUUCUCAAGAUUUUGCGUUUCGUACACGUUGAUCAUGGAGUGAAUCAAGUUAGAAAAUAUUUUCACAAGAUUUUCCCUUGAAAUUGCAUGGAUGGAACCAUAGAGGAAUUAUACAUCGAAAAGUUUGUCUUCUUGCCAUGAUGUCAAGUGAUAAGAUUAAAGUUCUUAAAUUAAGCUAUGACGUUUUACCUCCACUUAGCUUGACUUAUGAAGCUGAAGACUCAUCCUUUUGCAUUGACUUUGUUGGUAUUUAAAUGACCUCGGAGUCUUGGACGUGUUUCUUAAGCAAUAUGUCAUGGUCUCUGAGUAGGUUUUUUUUGGGUAAGAAAGGGAAAGUCUGUCGUUAGGAAAACAUCCUGAUAAGGGGAUGGUGAGAGGGGGAAAAAAAGAAAUUAUGCACUUAGUUACUUCCUGAUGAUAUUCCCUGUGGUGCUCUGCUUUUUGUUGCAUGGCAUUAUUAAUCAAUACAGAUGUGAACGAUUAUAACUUUUUGGAUGCGUCAAUAAGAUGCUAAUGAUUAUAUACCUUUCGGAUGCCAGAAACAAAAAAACUAGGGUGGCAGCAGCAACCAACCCCAGAUGACGAAUUCUAACACUUUCAAGGAAUACAAGGGGAUUUCGUCUGAUCAAGUAUAAUAUGAUUUUACUAAUAAGUGUUUUAUUAGUUUGUUUUGCGCUCUAAUGUGACAUUCAUCAUUAGAUGUUGGCCAAAUAAUUUUAUAAAUUAUGAAAUUCAUAUCUAAUAGAUGAGUUAUACGUAAUAUUAAGACUCAAAUGUUAAGAUUCCUAAUGUUAUUUACAUAAAUAUACCUUUACAGUAAGGGUGUUCAGCGAUAAUGGAUCCUUUGGCCGAUUGACCCGAUCCUUAAAUUAAUCUUUAAAAAUAAAAAUAUAACACUCAAGAGUUAUUGAAGCGCACACACAAAACACAUGGUCGCAAUUAAAAAUGGAACCAUAGUGAUGCAAUACUAUUAGUAGAGAAUGAAGAAUAGGAGUAUUAUUCUAAAAACUAAAAUAUAUAAAAUAAAAUAAAAUAAACUAUGGUUGGGCUUGGCUAAAGCUUGAGCCCGACACUGACCCAACAAGAGUUUGGCCUGACUUGUAGUUUGUAGGGUCGGGCUUUUAAAGAGUUAAGAGUAUUUCAUUUUAAUCAUAGAAUCGGGCUAGGGCUUGGAGUGGCCCCAGCCGGACUCAUCCCAUUGUCAAGUCUAAAAUGAACCACAACCAAAACAAAUAAAUGAGCAUUUAUAAUGAUCAGAAGUCACAACACAAGGCCUUAAUUCUGAUAACUCAAGAUAAAGUUUUUUUAGUUAAAAAAAAAAAAAAACCAAAAUACGUCUGCUAUACUUUUACAUUUUUUCUUUUAUUAAACAAAAGAUUGAUUGAUUCAAUUUGGUCGAUAAUAAUGCUUGAAAAGUCCCUUCCUUCAGCCCCACCGAAAAUUUUAUAAAUUGAACGUCAUUUCAAUUUAAUCCAAAUUAUUGUCGGUGUGAAUAUUGUUUUAUUAUGAUCUUGGUGAUAUUAGACUAUGUUUUGCAUUAACUAUGAUUUUUUUUUAAAAAAAAAAAUCUUUCGUUUUUAAUGAUUUUUUGAAGUUAAUCAUGUCAUUAAUUUGACUAAUUAUUGUUGAGAUUUUAUUUGCAAUUAUAAAUAUGAAAUUUGUCGAAAACCUUGAAUUCAUCAACCUUGGUCGGGGAUCCAUCUUUUUGUUUAUGUUCAUUUGAUCGGUGGCUGAAAAGCUUUAAAAAGCAUGCGAAAAUUAUGAAAUUCCUCUCCUAAAAAUCAUUUAAAAAGUAAGUUAAAUCUCUCAAAUUGAUAUUUAGAAUAAUCUAUGAAAGAUGCCACUAGGCUAAAGUCUAGUGGUUAGAACUCAUACUUCACAAUUGUGAUUUGUAAUUUCUUUUUUCAAUUUGAGUGAAGACAGUCUUCUCUCUUUCGAAAUGUAAGUGAAGUAGAUCUCCCUCGAAUAUUAGAGAGGGUAAAAUUUGAAUGAACUUCAUAGAAAUUGAUGUAAAUUAGUCUUAAUAAUAGUUUGAUUUGUAAAUAUCAGUUGUAAUCUCAUGUAAUAUGAGUUGUACUCUUGAACAAUAGUCUCAUUUAAUUAAAAAAAAGAAUAAUUUGUGAAAGAUAAAAGUAAAUUAUAAAUGUUCUGAUUAAACAAUUAAUUUAACUAUAUAAUGCUUUUAUUUUUACUUUUUAAUCUCGAUCAAUUGGGACAUUAGUUCACUCUUGUCUUGACGGUAAAAGAUCACGAGUUCAAUCAAAUUUAAGAAAGAAUAUAUUAUUUGGGGGGUGAGUUGGGGAUUUUAUCAAAAUCUGAGCCUUAUAAAAAGUACUCCAUUAAUAACAUAAUAAUAAAUUUAACAAGUUACUAAAAUGAAAGAUUCAGCAUACAUCAAGAUAAGUCCGGAUAUUUAUAAACUCUUUAUUAAAUACUUAUACUAAUUGAUUACAGUGACCAAAUAGUCUUUCAUCAUGACAUCAUUAUCAAGAAAAUGAAGAUUUAUACGAUGAUUUUUGAAAAUAAGAACCAUGAGUGUCGUUGGCCUUUUGAAAAAGUUUCCUCCCCCCCCCCCCCCNNNNNNNNNNNNNNNNNNNNNNNNNNNNNNNNNNNNNNNNNNNNNNNNNNNNNNNNNNNNNNNNNNNNNNNNNNNNNNNNNNNNNNNNNNNNNNNNNNNNNNNNNNNNNNNNNNNNNNNNNNNNNNNNNNNNNNNNNNNNNNNNNNNNNNNNNNNNNNNNNNNNNNNNNNNNNNNNNNNNNNNNNNNNNNNNNNNNNNNNNNNNNNNNNNNNNNNNNNNNNNNNNNNNNNNNNNNNNNNNNNNNNNNNNNNNNNNNNNNNNNNNNNNNNNNNNNNNNNNNNNNNNNNNNNNNNNNNNNNNNNNNNNNNNNNNNNNNNNNNNNNNNNNNNNNNNNNNNNNNNNNNNNNNNNNNNNNNNNNNNNNNNNNNNNNNNNNNNNNNNNNNNNNNNNNNNNNNNNNNNNNNNNNNNNNNNNNNNNNNNNNNNNNNNNNNNNNNNNNNNNNNNNNNNNNNNNNNNNNNNNNNNNNNNNNNNNNNNNNNNNNNNNNNNNNNNNNNNNNNNNNNNNNNNNNNNNNNNNNNNNNNNNNNNNNNNNNNNNNNNNNNNNNNNNNNNNNNNNNNNNNNNNNNNNNNNNNNNNNNNNNNNNNNNNNNNNNNNNNNNNNNNNNNNNNNNNNNNNNNNNNNNNNNNNNNNNNNNNNNNNNNNNNNNNNNNNNNNNNNNNNNNNNNNNNNNNNNNNNNNNNNNNNNNNNNNNNNNNNNNNNNNNNNNNNNNNNNNNNNNNNNNNNNNNNNNNNNNNNNNNNNNNNNNNNNNNNNNNNNNNNNNNNNNNNNNNNNNNNNNNNNNNNNNNNNNNNNNNNNNNNNNNNNNNNNNNNNNNNNNNNNNNNNNNNNNNNNNNNNNNNNNNNNNNNNNNNNNNNNNNNNNNNNNNNNNNNNNNNNNNNNNNNNNNNNNNNNNNNNNNNNNNNNNNNNNNNNNNNNNNNNNNNNNNNNNNNNNNNNNNNNNNNNNNNNNNNNNNNNNNNNNNNNNNNNNNNNNNNNNNNNNNNNNNNNNNNNNNNNNNNNNNNNNNNNNNNNNNNNNNNNNNNNNNNNNNNNNNNNNNNNNNNNNNNNNNNNNNNNNNNNNNNNNNNNNNNNNNNNNNNNNNNNNNNNNNNNNNNNNNNNNNNNNNNNNNNNNNNNNNNNNNNNNNNNNNNNNNNNNNNNNNNNNNNNNNNNNNNNNNNNNNNNNNNNNNNNNNNNNNNNNNNNNNNNNNNNNNNNNNNNNNNNNNNNNNNNNNNNNNNNNNNNNNNNNNNNNNNNNNNNNNNNNNNNNNNNNNNNNNNNNNNNNNNNNNNNNNNNNNNNNNNNNNNNNNNNNNNNNNNNNNNNNNNNNNNNNNNNNNNNNNNNNNNNNNNNNNNNNNNNNNNNCGGUACAGCAGAAUAAAUUUGAAGUAAUCUUGAAAUUGAAAUCCAGUCAGCAAAGAAGCAAAAACGAAAAAAGUACCAUUAUCCACCACGCGUCAAACUCCUGUCCAUUUUGACUGGUCGUACGAUCCACGUGUCUCCAUCUCAUUAACUACGAUGCAUCACAUCGUCAUGCCGACCUUCGAAUGAGUCGGGACCCACCUGCCCCCGGGGCGUAACGAUCGUACCACAUCAGACAGUCUCCUCUAAUUUGGCUUAUCCAAUUCCGGGUAACAACUAGUCAAACAUGAACUGUAAUGUUAUCUCCAAUUGGUGGUACCAAAAUUAAAGUUUAUAUUUAAUAUCAAAUAUUUAAAUUUAUCGGACUUCCACUACUUCAUAGCUCACUGAUUGUUCUUAUCUAGAUUGAGAUGGAAGAUUCGAGUUCUUUACAAAAAUUAAAAUAAAAUAAAAUAAAAUAAAGGGUAUAGUAAAAAAUAUAAAAUUCUUUACAGGAUAUCUGAUUAAGGGUCUCACUCACUAGUCACUAACAUAUAAUAAAUUAUAUUUAAUACUUAUAGGUCUUUCAUUUUGUUAUCUCUAAACAUUGCCUUUAAUUCGAAACUGACACGUCGAUACAUAACAAUUAUUAUACGGUUCGAUAUAAUUUUAAAGCUAAUUUAGUUUUAUUUAUUUUUUGUUUAAGUGCUUAAUUAACUGUGCUAUAUUCAAUUAAAUCGAAAAGAAUAAUCCAAUUAUUUCUAUUGACCAAUCGAAUAUUGAAUUUUCUUUUCAUCCUAAAGUCUAUUGAAAUAAUCCAACUCUUCAACUCCCUUGAAUGGAAAUUGAUUGAAUAGAAAAAUUUUGUAGAGCCCUCAAACAUUAAACCGAGCCAACCAAUUCAUUGGUGGCAAGAAAACAAGCAGUCAAGCAUUCGCAUAAAUCAUAAUCACAUUCAAAUAAAUAGAUGGUAGUCUAUUCAUAACUUUUUAUUUUAAGUUUUUACUCAAUAAUAUUUCAAUAUUUUACUCAAUAACAUUUCAAUUAAUUUGAAUAUAUAUAUAUAUAAUUUACACGCAGACAAAAAAUUAAAAUUUUGCUAUCCGAUUAGACUACGAUACAUUCAAAUAAAUAGAUAGUAGUUUAUUCAUAAUCACAUUCAAAUUAGAUGAUAGUCUACUCAUAACUUUUUAUUCCAAGUUUUUACUCAAUAACAUCUCAAUUUAUUUAUUUGAAUGUGAUUUGAAUCACAUUCAAAUAAAUAGAUGAUAGUCUACUCAUAACUUUUUAUUCCAAGUUAAUUGAAAUGUUAUUGAGUAAAAACUUAGAAUAAAAAGUUAUGAAUAGACUAUCAUCUAUUUAUUUGAAUGUGAUUAUGAAUAGACUAUUAUCUAUUUAUUUGAAUGUAUCAUAGUCUAAUCGGAUAGCAAAAUUUUAUUUUUUUGUCUGCGUGUAUAUUAUAUAUAUAUAUAUAUAGUCUAUUCAUAAUCACAUUCAAAUAAAUAGAUGAUAGUCUAUUCAUAACUUUUUAUUCCAAGUUUUUACUCAAUAACAUUUCAAUUAAUUUGAAUAUAUAUAAUAUACAGACAGACAAAAAAUUAAAAUUUUAUUAUUCGAUUAGACAACGAUACGCUUCAAAUAAAUAAAUAAAUGGUAGUCUAUUCAUAACUUUUUAUUCCAAAUUUUUAAUUGAUAACAUUUCAAUCAACUUGAAUAUAUAUAUAUAUAUAUAUAUAUACACACACACACUCUAAAAAAAAAAUUAAAAUUUUGCUAUCCAAUUAGACUACGUUACAUAGCUCCUUCAUAACGCCUCGCCACGUGGCACGAAUCCUUUAAUUAGAACAGUUUCUAGUUAUCUAACGAACUUUCUAUAAAUAGCCGUUAUAAAAUUCGCCACUCAAUUCAGAACCAAAAAUCGAACAAUGAAAAUGGAAUCUUCCGAGUUAAUACCGAGUCUCCCUGAAGAGCUCAGCCUCGAGUGCUUAACCCGCCUCCCUUACUCCACCCAUCGCCUCGCCUCCGCUGUCUGCCGGCGUUGGCGCCAACUCCUUCAAAGCCAAGACUUUUACUACCAAAGAAAAAAUUCUGGGCACACCCACAAAGUUGCGUGCUUAGUUCAAGCUGAAAAAGAAUCAGACGGUGGCAAAAAACCAGGCGAGUCACCGAGUUAUCGACUCAGCGUGUUCGACCGGGUCGGUGCGGUAUGGGACAGGAUUGACCCGGUACCCGGGUAUCCAAAUGGGUUGCCGCUCUUUUGUCAGUUGGCGGGUUGCAAGGGCAAGCUUGUGGUGAUGGGCGGGUGGGACCCGGAUAGUUACAACCCGGUCACCGACGUUUUCGUGUACGAUUUCGGGAUGCGGAGGUGGCGGAAAGGGAAGGAUUUGCCGGCGAAGAUGUCGUUUUUCGGGUGUGGAUCUGCGGAGGGUCGGGUCUAUGUUGCGGGCGGGCACGAUCAGAAUAAGAACGCGCUGAGGACGGGGUGGGUCUAUGAUUUGAGGCGGGACGAGUGGAGUGAGUUGACUCAGUUGAGUCAAGAGCGAGACGAAUGUGAGGGGGUGGUGAUAGGGGAUGAGUUUUGGGUAAUUAGCGGGUAUAACACCGAGAAUCAAGGGGCUUUCGAUGGAAGCGCCGACGCUUACGGGUUCGGAUCCGGUCAAUGGAAGCGGGUGGAAGGGAUUUGGGAGGCUGGUCGGUGCCCGAGAUCCAACGUUGGGGUGGGCAAAGAUGGGAGGAUAUUUAGUUGGUCCGAGCUAGACUCCGUUGUACGGGCCGGGUUAUGCGGGGUAGCGUUGGGCGAUCGGGUUCUGGUCACCGGGUCGGAGUACCAAGGAGCUCCAAGUGGGUUUUAUCUGGCGGAAAUUGGGGAAGGGCAAAAGGUGAAAUUGGAGAAAAUCAAUGUGCCCGAUGAAUUUUCUGGGUUUGUUCAAUCUGGUUGCUGCGUUGAGAUCUAAUAAUAAAUGGAUCCGAAAAGUAUGUCACAUAUAAUUUUGUAGUGAAUUUUACAUCUGUGGGACAUAUAUAUAUAGUUUUGUAGUGAAUUUUACAUUUCUUAUUUAUAUAUAUAUCUUGUGUAAUUAGAAAUUGUACAAAAGGUUAAAUUUUUGAAGUGGCUCAAAAAAUUUGUACGUGUUCUGUUUUGAACCUCACUUUUGUAAACUAUACUAUCCUUGUGUUCAAGUUCUAUUUUUGUUAUUCUGUUGGCUUUGGUUUAUGGCAUUGCCCAAAUGUUACCAUGAUGUAUAAUAGUUUCGAUUACCCAAAAAAAAAAAAAAAGGAUUGGCUUUCAGUAUAACUAUCCAAAAAAUACUCAUUCAAUUAUAAAAUCCCGUUGGUUCGAGUCCCAAUCAUUGUUGGAAUUCUUACUCCUCUCUUAUGUGGGAGUUUAUUUGUCUCCCGCAUUUGGAUUAUUAUACAUCUCACUCUUAAUAAUAAUAUUAUUAAAGACAGUCUCGAUCAAUCUCUUAUUGUACAUAUCAAUUGUACUAUGAUGGUAAUAUAUUAAUAUAUAAAAAAAAAUCUCUAAUUAACUUAAUUAAUUAUUAAGUCGUUUUACGUCAUUAAAACAAAAAAAAACAAAAAAAAAAACAAUCUCCUCUUAAAUCAAAGCUAACAAUAUUUGAAGUAUUUGAUACCACCGACUAUAGGACCAUGAUUCAGAAUGAUGCAAUUUUAUUUGUUGCGUUACAUAAGUGAAGUAGAAACCUUUUUGUUUGAUAAUGAAGGAAGUUUCCAAAGUGCUAGUAGCUAUGCCCAUAAAUCAGUCUGAAUCCAACAGCUUCAUCGUGUCAUCGAUCAAUGAGCAAACAUCUCCUCCAUGGACCAUGGGCAGGCAUCUUGGGGAAUUGAUUUAUUAAACAUAUUAAGGGCUCCUCAUUUAAUAAAAGAAUUGAAAUAGAUGUAUUUUUAUAAUUUCUUUUUUUUUAUAAUUUUAAUAAUAACAGCUAUUUUUAUUUUUGUUUGAUAAUAACAACUGUUUAGCCACGACACAAUGUAAUUGUUUUCUAUUAAUAAACUUUUAAAAACCGUGACACAAAUUCUACUCCAUUUUUUUUCUUCUAAUUAACUAUAUCAGUUGAGCUGAAUAAUAAUAUUAUAAUUUUAAUAUUUAAAUCUCAAUAUUUUCGUGUUAUGGGUCUGAAAAAUGAUACAUUUUAUAAUUUAUAAAUUAUUUAAUUAUCAUCUAAUGUAUAAAUGUCACAUUAACUAAAGUUAAAUUAAAACUUAAAUGUUGGAAGUGGAAGUCUAAAAUUACUCUAAAAGUAAAGACGUUUAUUUGUUCUUUGAAACUAAUAAAUUGAUUGAUAAAUUAUACUUCUUUUAUUUUUAUUUUAAAAGAAUUUUUAGAUUUUUUUUUUUUUUGUUGGGAAAAGGAAAUUCACUCAAAAUCGAAACAAUUAUUUGGUUUCAAUAUGCGAGUAAUUUGAAACACACGCACAGAGACAGUGGCUUGAAAGUUAAAAUGGUGCGUGUUGUUGUGGACAUGAACAGCGGCGGUGGAGGUAGCGGAGUCGGAGGAACAUCGACUUCAUCGUGGGUCUCGACGACGUCGGUUUCAGCAUCUGGGAAGAGGAUUCAGAGAGAAAUGGCGGAGCUGAACAUGGACCCACCUCAGGAUUGCUCUGCUGGUCCCAAGGGUGACAAUCUUUACAACUGGGUCGCCACCAUCAUUGGCCCUGCUGGUGAGGUUCCCCUAAGCUCUAACUCGCUCUCUUUUGGCAAUUUUUUUCUUUUUAUCAUUUUUGGUGACGGGUUGUUGUUUUUUAUGAUAAAAUUUCAAUUUUGAUCAUACUUCCGUGAUGGGUGGUCGUUCUUCAUGAUAAAGUUUCAAUUUUGAUCAUAUUUUAGUGGUGGGUUGCGGUUUAUAUUGUUUUUGAAAGAUAAAAGUUUCAAUUCUGAUUAUUUUCGAGUGAUGGUUGUUGUUUGUAUUGCUUUUGGUCAAUGAAGUUUCAAUCUUGAUAAUUUUUGAGUGAUGUUGGUGGUUGUUUGCUUGUUUUAAUGAUUCUGUUUCAAUUUUGAUCAUUUUCGAGUAGUGGGUGGUUGUUAUUUACCUGUUUUCUUGUUUUUUAUUAUAAAAUAAUUGGUCAUUUUUUGAGUGAUGAUUGCUUGUUGUUUCUUGUUUUUUGAUGAUAAUGUUUCAACUUUUAUUAGUUUCAAAUGAUGGGGUGGCGUGUAAUUUCUUGUUUCAUGCUCCUUGUCUUGAUUUUGUGGUCUGUCUUGGUUGAAUUAUAAUGGCAACUUGUUGGAAUAUUGCUGAUGCUAUGAGUUUCAAGCGUUAAUUGAACUAAGGAUCGUUGCUCAAUUAUUGAUGCUCAUUGUCUUUAUUAGCAACAGACUAUUGGGAAAGGUAAGUUCACAUGUUGAAUUAUCUAGUUUUUGAUGCACUGCAUCGUUGAUUUGUGGGCUUUAUUUUAUGUGUUUAUCAAAUUAUUAAACAUGUUUCUAUAAAAGUUGCAUAUGUCUUUUUCCGACUAUUUGCUUUCCAUUUGAAUUGUCUAUUUUCUGUUACAGCAGCUUCUGAAAUCUGGUUAAUGCCUGAGUUGUCUUGUUGGCAUGUCAGCUUUGCAGUGUUCACUAAGCUCAUUUUCAUGUUGUAGGAACACCAUACCAAGGGGGUAUAUUUUUUCUUGACAUAACAUUUCCAACUGAUUAUCCGUUCAAACCUCCAAAGGUAUGCUAUUCAUGAAUCUCAUUUUGUCUGGCAUAUGUAUCAAUAUAACCCUACAUAAUUUUCCUACUCUUCUUAUUUUCAACCCUAUUGGUUUUUCAAGCAUAUUUUGUUGUGCGAUGGGUCUGGUCUUGAUGCUCUUCAAAGCUGGGUUAGAUAAUCAUGGUUAUGUGUUACACAAGCAGCAAUCUCAUCUCUUGAAGUUAGACACUUGGGAAAAUAGACUGGGUUGGAACUUGACUCUAUUUUACAUUUGAUAUUGUUGCUUAAGAAUAAUGAACACGUUUUUCUAUUGUAAUUAUCAAAGAAGUGGCAAUCUUGAACUAUCACGGACUAUAAAAAUCCAAUCAGAAUGGCAAGAAGAAUUUUGCUUCAGACUGGCUGCGAAUGUGAUGUUGAGGUGUUGAGCUUUUCCGGCAUGAUCUAUUUGAACAUGAAGUAAAUAGUAUUGUUCAAAGGAUAGGAUUUUGUACUUGCAAAUGUAGAGACUUGAGAAAAUGAGACUUGCUAUUGGAAAUCUUGGUCUGGUUGCAAAUUCUUUUGACAAAUAACAUUCCCUUUUGUUGGAAUCUUGUUGUUACGUCGUGGGUGUUUAAGCAUUUGCAUAUUUGAAGUCCUAGAAUUGUAGAAAUUAGUAUAAACUAAAUAAAUACAUUCUCCUUUCUUUGCUGCAUUCUUCAUUUAUUUGUUCUUUAAUAAUAAGUAUAGUUUUGCAGGUGGCAUUUCUAACUCGAAUCUACCACUGCAACGUUGAUUCUGCUGGCAAUGUUAAUUUGGAUAUCUUGAAGGACAGUUGGAGUCCAGCUCUGACAAUUACGAAGGUGCUACUUGCAGUCAGAUCAAUGUUCACAAACCCUAGCCUUCGUAAGUUCUUGUACUAGAUUCUCUUGUGCAUUUUUGUUGUUUGUUGCAUGAUUGGCUUUAGCUGGGCUGCCUAGGUGUGCAGAUCUCGGACUUGUUUGCUGUUGUAAUAUUAGAUGUUACAAGCGAGUGACGUGCAUAAACUUUUCUGUUAAAUGUGUGCAGAUAAUCCCAUUGUUCCUGGCAUUGCCCACUUGUACUUAGAAGAUAAAGCUAAACAUGAUCAACUAGCAGCAGAGUGGACACUGCGAUUUGCCAAGUAAUGAAUCCAAUGAAAGAGCUGACACCGCUUAACAUUUCGAUGUUGUUGUAGAUUCCUUAUCAGCAUGUCGUUAUUAGUCCAAGACUGCACCCAUGCCACUUUCUUGAAUAUGCCCCUAGGCAUCUAUAAAAUGCUCUCCAACAUGAACUGCAAUGUUAUCCUUGCAACUAUAUCACGUUUGAAAGCAACUGUGAGAAAUUCAGCUUAUUGUAAAUGUCUUGCCUCAUAUGGUUACAUCAAUAUUUAGUUGCUGUGUCGAAAUAAAAUCAUUCCACCACCCAAGCAAGAGGUGAUGGAUUUUAUUUUUAAAGUAUGAAGAUCAAUUGUCUACUCUAAAAAUAUGUUAGAAUCUCCAAACCGAGGCCAUUGGUUGGUGGGUGAUAAAGACUCUUCCCCAAUUGUGGAGUGAAUGAGUUCGAGUCUGUAUGUAAGAUUCACCUUUCUUUGCAAAUAUUUGUUUACUUGUGUGAGAUAGAUUUUGUUUGUAUUGUAUGCUGAUUUUUGAGUUAUGCUUGGAUAAUAUCUAGUUGUGCUAUAAUUUUGGUCAUUGCAAUGGACGGCAUGCAUAUUUUCGAACUUAGCCCGAUAGACCCAAGUUUAGAAAAAGGCAAAAAAAAGGAAAAAGAAAAAACACACACACCCCCACACGCAUACACACAUACAUAUAUGUACAUGCAAGCGUACGAAUCCGUGGGGACCUGGUGGUGCCAAAGACUUGGAUGUUUAAGAGUGGAAAUCCGUAAUACCCAGUAGAGCAAAUUACAGAAGCAGUGUUUUUCGUAUAUCGAAACUGGGGUCGUUGACUCAUUUUUUUAAUCAUCAGAAACACACCACAUGUUCAACUACCUACCUUUUUCAAUCUUCUACACCCGUUAUUACCUGUUAACAAUAAAUGUCUAUGGUAAAUGCUAUGUUACAUUUCAUGUAACAUAGGGACUCCCAAAUGUCUAUUGGUAACUGAAAAAAAGAUCAGAACUUGUUAACGAGAGAGAGAGGAAAAAAUGGGAAAGAACAUAAGAGAAGUGGGAGUGGAGGAUUUGAUGAAGGUGGGAUUGAAACUGGAGGAAGCUGAGGAGUUUGAUAAGAUUUUGAAGCAAGUGAUAAGUUGCAGCAAAGGGCUUGAUGCAAGAGAGAUUUGGCGUGAGCUUGUGGCCAGAAAAGUGCUUAAGCCAUGGCACCCACAUGGGUUGCAUCAACUUGUUUAUUACAGUGUGUAUAAUGAUUGGGACGCUUCCAUCAAGGGCCCUCCUCUUUACUGGUUCCCUUCUCUGUAUGUUCUUUGCCUAUCUCUCUUUUGCUUGUAUCUCUUGAUUUCUUGCGUUGCUUUUGUUUUUGCCAGUUAAAAUUCCCUGUAAUUUUGACAUAUUUGAUAUUAGGAGUAAAAGAUUUGAUCAUGUUUCAGAUAGUUGUGUUGGGGUGUUAUUGGAUAAGAAUGUAUAAGUAAGUAAUCUUAACUGUAUAUUAUUAAAAGUGCUCACGUGAUGCAGUAUCUUUGAAGGACUCGCCAAUUUUGUCUGUGAAAUCCACUUAUUUUGCUAUCUUAUGGGCACACAUCUUUGUGUGCUUUCUUGUAGCCUAAAUUUAAGUCUAUGGGCACAUAUGUAUUUUACAAAUUAUUACAACUCUCAAUUUUGAACUUUUAUAAUUUAAGAUCAGUUCUUCAAUAUCAUGGAACAUCUCUAUUUCUUAAGAAUGAAAUAAAAGAUUUUUUUUGAAAAAUACGGAAUCUUUAAUUACCAAUUAAGACAUAAACUCCUUUGAAAUUUUGGAAGGAAUACACGAAAACACUGGUUAAGCGGGCAUUAUCAACAUGAUUUAUCUCAUAUUAAAUGGGCUAGAUUAGUACCACAAGAAUGGCGAAAUAGAGCCAAACACUGUAUGACUCAAAAUAAAGAUUAAUCUUGGCAUCAAAGUUUGAAUCUUUCUCCUAACGGAUACCUAUGUUUUUCAAACAUCAGAGAUCAAUCGAAGCUUACUAACUUAGGAAAUGCAUUGGAAAUUCAUGGACCAAAGCUCCUAGGGCGUGCGUACAAAGACCCCAUAACAAGUUUUAGGCUCUUUCAGAAAUUCACAGUUGAACAUCCUGAGGUGAGUACUUACUAUUUUCAUAUGCUACUGGACUCGUUCUUAUUCUGAAUUUUGUAUCUGAGUAUGGUUUCAGGCUUAUUGGGAAAUUGCUCUUAAAGAGAUUUCAGUUGUAUUCCGCGAGGCCCCGAAAUGUAUUUUAGACAGAACUGACAAAUCAAAGCAUGGUGGAACAUGGCUUCCAGGUUCAGUUUUAAAUAUUGCUGAAUGUUGUUUGCUACCCUCAAAUCAUCGGAGAAAAGAGGACAAUACUGUGGCUAUUGUGUGGAGAGAGGAUAGAUGUGAUGAAUCUGCUGUUAACCUUAUGACAUACAAGGAACUCCGCGAACAAGUAAUGUAUGCUCUCAUCAGAAUUUUGUGUAUAUGUACUGUAGUUUGUGUUUAACCUUAUUUUAGACUAACAUUAACUAUGAUUUUCUCUAGCAUCAGAUUUGAUUAGGCCGUUUGAAUCAAAUGUCGCCAUAUAUAUACACUUUAGGUAUAUCAAUGUCAAACUAAGCUGAAUUCUAUUUGAAGAAAAUAAAUCCUUUAGUCAAAAUUCGAGUCUUUAACAUGGGAACUGUUACCUGCUUUCUUCCUGUUACAUAAACUUUUUCAGCUGCUGAUAAAAGAAGUAACCAUUAUUAAUAACGAAUGAUCAAAGGAAAUAAGUUAUGUCCUUUAUUCCUUGAAAACCUUCUUCCUUCCCACAUCAUUAUUUUUAUGUUUAAAUUUACUUUUAUUUUCUUCUAUUUUAUCUUUUUUGAUAUGUUUGCUGCACGAGUUACAGGUUGGUGGCUAAUGCAUUGGAUACAAUGUUCUCAAAGGGUGAUGCAAUUGCAAUUGACAUGCCAAUGACAGUCCGUGCAGUUAUUAUAUAUUUGGCUAUUAUACUAGCAGGAUAUGUUGUAGUAUCAAUAGCUGACAGCUUUGCAGCUAGGGAGAUUGCAACUCGUUUGCGAGUGUCUAAAGCCAAGGGUAUCUUUACUCAGGUGAUCAUUCAUUCUUAUAGUUCAUUCUAUAUAUGAAGGAGUAGAACUUCUGAAAUUUAGGAACUUUAUCGCGACACUCAUUUUCCCUUUCAUAUUUUUUGUCACUCAACUAUAUGCAUUAGUUGUAAGAGAAAUACAAGCAGUCUGCUUAACAAAUUGUUUCUAGUUAUCCUGUUAUUGACGUCAGAUUUUAGAAGUGAUGUCAGAUUUUAUAAGUGAUGACAUAGUAUUUGCUCAUUAUAUUUUAAAUCCUUUUAUAUUACAUCCCCAUUACUCUUAUGCAUCACUUUUUCUUCUCUGUUUCUGUGUUGCCUUUGGAGUCAAUUCUAAGCUAGUACUUACGUGCAGCUUUUCUGGGUAGAUAUGAAUACAUUUUAAUAUGUUCUAAGAGAUUCCAUGUAUUAUAUUCGUUAUGAGAUUACAAUCCAGUUGGUGUAUCAUUUGUUUGGUGAUAUCUGCCUUCAAUUUGUAUUCAGGAUUUUAUUCUCAGAGGAGGAAGAAAAUUUCCUUUAUACAGGUAAAGGAUUAACUUUUAUAGUCUAUACUAGAUGUUGCAUUUUGUCAUCUUGAGUAAGAAAUUUACCAAUUUUGAUGGCGUAAAUCAUGUUGUCAUCACCUUUAUCAAGUACCAAAAUUCUGAAGUCUUUACGAACAUAAAUUGUUUGCAGCAUGUGGCUGAAGCUGUAAAAUUUUUUAUCAAUUGCAUUUUAAUCAUAUCCAUAUUAUACAACAGGAAUUGCUAAUCUGUAUGUGUCAUAGAGGUCCUGUUGAUAUCUGCACUCCCCAUGUAAUUGAUUCUGAACAGCAUUUAUGCACCCCAUAAUACUUUGCGUGAUCUUGGAUAUAUUUGUGUGUUAUUAAACUCCUACCAGCUCACAUGACUGAGUUGAAAUGAUUCACAUGGGUUUUCUUGAAAUUAAAUCAUAGGGAAUGUCCUUUUAGCUAGUUAAAGUGAUAGAGAAUUGUGAUUUUAAAUGAAAAUUGGUUCUUUCUUUACAUUUUCAGCAAGCUCUUGAAUUUCAGACUAACUGAACUAAAAACAUCUUUUAUUUCUUAAGAAACCUGAGCUUUAUGGCAAAAAUUGAAAUGUACUUGUUUCUUAUUUCUUUCAAAGUUAAAUUGGAAGUAAUGGUUCACUUUUAACUGCUUCUAUGAAGGCCUUGCAUAGAAUGCUUUCUCAUGAAGUACUUGCGUUAGAUUUAAAAGCUAAACUAGUGUGAUAAUCCCAUUCUUUUUAUCUGAAACUAUUAUGAUAUACAUUAUGGACUUGGACAUGUUUUAACUAUUCCACUAUUAAUGUAAUGGCAUUUUGUCCCUCUUUUACAGUAAAGUUCUAGGCGCUGCUCCUCUUAAAGCUAUUGUGCUCCCUGCGAUCGGAAAUGAUGUAGGUAUUCCAUUAAGAGAACAGGAUCUAUCAUGGAAAGAUUUUCUUUCCAGUGUUGACUACCAUCCCAGGUAUUGAUACCACGAAAUUCAAGAUCCCAAUGUGUUUUUAUGGGUUCUCCAAUUAAUAUGCUGUGAACAAUUACGUAUGUCAAUAUUUUUGUGGUGACAGGCCAAACUAUUACUCUCCGGUUUAUAACCCAGUGGAUGCUGUCGUUAAUAUACUCUUUUCAUCUGGAACCACAGGUAGCAAAAUUUUUUAACCGUAGAUUUAUUCUUUUUCCUGUUUUGACACCCACUUUAGAAAUAUUAUCUUAUUUAUUGGCCUUAAUUAGGAGAACCAAAGGCUAUCCCAUGGACACAACUUUCAUCGAUUCGAUGUACUGCUGAGGGAUGGGCUCAUAUUGAUCUCAAAGUUGGAGAUGUUUAUUGCUGGCCAACCAAUUUGGGAUGGGUGAUGGGGCCGGUUAUACUAUUCUCAAGCUUUCUGAAUGGUGCGACUCUUGCUCUGUAUCAGGGAUCUCCUUUGGAGCGCAGUUUUGGAAAAUUUGUUCAGGUGGCACUUCAAUUUUUGGUUUUUCCUGUCUGUAAACUCUUAUUGCCUAUUUCUAGGAGGGCUGAUCUGAUUUUUCAGUGCCUUAGAGCUGAUUACACUACCAACCACCUAUUAUUCAAUAGAGUUCCUAUGUCAAUAUGCCACGGAAUUAAUAGGAGAGAUCUUAAACAUUCAAUUGUUUGGUCGUGGUGCAGAAAUAAUACUAGAAUAAUACCAGACUACUUAGCUUGGCCAUGCGGAGACAUUUUGAACUUGAGCUGUAGAGGAUUCUUAAAUGACAUUGGAUAUAAGGACGGAAAAAUUGUGUGGUUAUCAUGAAGGUUUUGGCUUUAAUACAAUCAUAACUGUAAUAGAUUGGCAUCACUUUUUCAAGUGCAUAGCCAUAAGUUCAGUACUGGGAAUUGCGAGAUUUUGCUCUUGUUUAUUGUAUUUAUUUUCUGAAACUUUUUCAGGAUGCUGGAGUAACUGUUUUGGGUACAGUUCCAAGCUUAGUGAAAGCAUGGAGGAACACAAACUGUUUGGAAGGCCUGGAUUGGACAAAGAUAAGGUAGUCUCCUUUUUCCGACUUCAAACUUAGGAGUCUUCAUAUGAUUCAGAAUGAAAUUGACUCAAAAUAUACGUAUAGAUCCUUUGCUUCCACUGGAGAAACCUCCAAUGUUGAUGAUGACCUUUGGCUCUCCUCGAAAGCUUGGUACAAUGCCAUUAUUGAAAGUUGUGGUGGCACAGAGCUUUCCUCAGCCUACAUCCAAGGAAGCCUGCUGCAGCCACAAGCUUUUGGAGCAUUUAGCACUGCAACAAUGACGGCAGGGCUUGUUAUUCUUGAUGAAUGUGGAGUACCAUAUGUAAGAACAUUUUCUUGAUCUAACUGGAUUCUCUUUCUUUUUACAAACCUUGCCAAUCAAAUUCUCACCACAUUGUUUCUUGCCUGUAACUUGACUCUGAGAUUGCAAUAACAUGUGAGAGAGCACAGUUAUUAUGAAUGCAUAUGCCAGAUUGACUGAUUAAUAUUCUGUUCUAUAUUGUUUAUAUGUGUAAUUAAUCUUUUUCAACAUUAACAGCCAGAUGAUCAACCUUGUGUUGGUGAAGUGGGUUUAUUCCCUCUAUACCUCGGAGCUAGUGACAGAUUGCUUAAUGCUGAUCAUGAGGAAGUUUACUUCCGCGGGAUGCCAAUGUAUAAAGGAAUGGUACAUGUAGACUAGCCUUUCUUAUAAAACAGUAGCAUUGAGACAUAUUUUCAUGCUAAGUCGUAUCAAUGAUACAAAAUGCUUUACCUCUUUUAAUAUUUAAAAGCACUGUGGUCUUUACUCGAGCUUGUGCUUCUGCAACUAAGCUAAGACACAACCAGUAAAACAAAAAAUCUUCUGUUUGAAUUCAUUUCCAUCACUUUUCAUAAUCAAUGGGAGCCAGAGAGUUAUCAGACAAUCAUGAUUCCAGUUUACAAGCAGCUUAAGAGUACGAUUUGUAACUUGACAUGUCUACUGGCAGUGUCUCAGGAGGCAUGGAGACAUCAUCAAGCGGACUGUCGGGGGCUAUAUCAUUGUACAGGGAAGGGCUGAUGACACCAUGAAUCUCGGUGGCAUAAAGGCAUUACUUCUUCCGUUGACUUUUUUAUCUUCACCAAGAAGCUCUUUUAAGUGUUUACACAUAUAUGCAUGGCUCUAUUUUCACAAACUUGAACUUAUUUUCUAUUUUUCACAAACUUGAACUUAUUUCAUCCCUUUUGUUUAAUAUCCGCUUCUUGGCUUCAUUUGUUUACGUGUAAAAUUUGAUAUGCAGACAAGUUCCGUUGAAAUUGAGCGUGUCUGCGACCAAGCUGAUGAAAGUAUCCUGGAGACAGCUGCAAUCAGUGUAUCCCCAGCAGGUGGUGGUCCAGAAGUGCUGGUAAUAUUUGUGGUACUAAAGAAAGGAUUUACCAGUCAACCAGACAAACUCAAAAUGAUAUUUUCAAAGGCCAUUCAAAGCAAACUCAACCCUUUGUUUAAGGUUUGGUGCUAAGAGCCUCCAUAUUUCUUUUCAAAUCCAUGUUGUUUGGAACCAUUUAAAUUACUGAUACAAUUCUACUCUGAUAUGAUUUCUUUUUCCUCAAUUUCUUUUUUAACUAAUAUUUACCAGGUGAGCUUGGUAAAGGUUGUCCCGGAGUUUCCCCGAACUGCUUCUAACAAGUUACUGAGGAGAGUGCUGAGAGACCAAAUCAAACACGAGCUUUCUGUUCGGAGUAGAAUUUAGAAGCAACAUCAAUUCUUCGUGCAUCAGUUUUCAACCAAUUUAUACAUCAUGUAGAUCUGUAAUUCCUCCUUGUGACCGAAAAAUUUUAUUGUGUGAUUCACUUGUGACCGAAAUGAAGGAAAAGUUAUCAGCAAUUAUCAUGCUUUGUUUGUGAGUAACUGUCAAACAGCACCUUUGUAACUUAAUUUCCAAUAAUUACUGUACAUUUGAUAUCAAGUUUGCCAACCAUCGAUUUUGAUGAUCCCUAAUGAACUUGUGAAGGGUAUAUCUGUCUUUAAAAUAAAAAAUAAAUUUAAUACUGUUGUCAUUUUCCCUUAUGGUGCGUUUGGUAUACUAUAUUGUAUUAUGUUGUAUUGUAUUAUUUUAAUACAGGUGUAUUGUAUUAUGUUGUAUUGCAUUAGCACUGUAUUAUAAUAAUGUUGUAUAAUGUUUGGUGCUACACUGUACUAUAUUAAUUUUUAAUUAUAUUAUACUUGAUGUUGUACUGUGCUGUAUUAAUUUUUUGUGAUUAAUUUAUAUUAUAUAUUUAUAAAAUAAUAUUUAUUAAUACUUAAAAAAAUUAAAUAUAGAAGUCUUAAAUUUUAGAAAUUUACUAAUUUUUUUAGUAUAAAUUUAAAAAAAUAUCAUAAUUCUUCAUAAAGAUUGAAGGUUAUAUCCUUUAAUUUUCGGAAGUAUAACAUUUAUUUUAUGUAUUUUCUAAAUAUAUAACUUCUUAAAUAUCGAAGCAAAUAAUUUAAUCAAAUAAUCUUGAAAUAAUAUAACAAGAAAAAUAAAUAGUUAAAACCUACAAGAUUUGUUCAAAAGUCAUCUUAGAACAUCUGUUCAUAUACACCACAAAAUAAUCACAAAAUGAUAAAGUGACAAAAUUGUCAUAACAUAGUUAAUAGUAAAAUGAAUUGUGCUAAUAUUUUAUAUUAUUAUUUAUGUUAUUAUUAAUUUAGAUUAAUAUUAUUGAAAUUCAUUUGUAUUUAAAAAUUUAUUAUUUGUUAUAUUAAAUUAUUUAAAAAUAAUUAAUAUACUUUUAAGUAUUUAUUAUUAAUCAUAUUAAAUUAUAAAUUUAUUAAUAAAGUAAAAGUAAAAGUAAAAGUUAAAAAAAAAAAAAAAAAAAAAAAAAAAAAAAAAAAAAAAAAAAAAAAAAAAAAAAAAAAAAAAAAAAAAAAAAAAAAAAAAAAAAAAAAAAAAAAAAAAAAAAAAAAAAAAAAAAAAAAAAAAAAAAAAAAAAAAAAAAAAAAAAAAAAAAAAAAAAAAAAAAAAAAAAAAAAAAAAAAAAAAAAAAAAAAAAAAAAAAAAAAAAAAAAAACACACCCUU
rnacentral:lncRNA from 1 species